CUCUAAAAAGUGAUAUGAGCUUAUUAACAAAAUAAACAAGACAAAUUUCUCAAUUUAUUUUCUUUCUUAUAAUCAAAUAUAUACUCCUGAAGAUAUACAAAACCCAAGCCCACUCCAUGAAAAAUCAAAGAAAUACAAGUACAAAAAAAAAAAAGAGAGUAAAAUUUGCAAAUAAGUACCUCAGCAUCCAUUGCUCCAAACCCAAGAGGGCACUUUUUUUCACCAAACGCCACUACAGCCCGUUUAAUCUCCUCUUUCCCUUUCAUCUCAUUCUACAACGAAGAAUCGAAUCCCUUAUCUCCGCUUCGAUCGGGGUUCCGUACUCGUAUCAGGAACACAUCGCAACGCCUCCCAAUACCUCAUACGCUUUUCUCGCUCCGAAGAAAAAUCUCUAAACAAUACCAACAUCAAAGCAAAAAAAAAAAAUUAACCCUCUCAAAAGACCAAAUUCAAGCAAUCGCUACAAACAUCAGGUUUUCCUCGCUCACGAAGUUGAUUAACAUUUCUAGCUAAGUUUAUUUUUAAAUAAAAUAAACGAAGCAGGUAGCGUGCUACCUAUCUCUCUCUUAAAAAAAAAAAGCCAAAAAUUUUGGGGGGCAAAAAUCGAUACCUCUCCUCCGAAUCCCCGUUCCUCGUCGCCUAGCGAUUCGAAACAACAAAAAAUCUAGGCUCGCAAAAUCCCUAGCAAUUUAGAAAAAGCUUACGCGCGAGAGAAGAGAGAGAGAGAGAGAGAGAGAGAGAGAGAGAGGGAAAGAAAAAAGUGAAAGGUGGAGAGAGAGAGAGAGAGAGAGAGAGAGAGAGAGAGAAAGAAGGGUUUGAGGCGAAAGAGGAGAGAGAGAGGAGGAGGAGAAAAAGGGCUCGGAGGAGGCGCCACGUCAGAUAGGGAUUUUCCUUUUUUUAAUUUUUUUUUCCUGUUUAAUUUUAAUUUUAAUUUUUUUUGGUUGGAAAUUUCGAGAAGCAGCUCGAUUCUUGUGGCUGGCGCUUCACGACGCCCGGCCACGUGGCGCGCGCUCGUCGGCCCUCCCCUCAUCUCACCCCCCGCUUUUCGAUCGCAACUUGUGGUAUUACUGUGCGUGGGGAUAAUUUCCCCAGGAUAAGUUUAUUUUAAUAAUAAUAAUAUCAAUAAUAAUGAUAACGAUAAACUAAAACUCCUUAUCCUCAUUAUUAUUCCCAAAUAAAAAACACGAACUUGUACGGUGACCCCGCAACAAUAGACUAUUGUGGUAUCCGUCCCUCAACUUUAUUUAAUCAAGUUAACUAUUUAUUAAAUUUUAAAUAAAAUUUAAAAAGUAUUAAAUUAAAAAUUAAAAUAAAAGGGUCAAAGGGGUUCUCUUCGUACAAUUUUCCCAAAUACAUUUAAAAAAAAAGAAGAACGGUGGUAUUCUCUUUUUUCUUUUUUUUUUUUAUAUGGCGUAGGAUUAAAGGGGUAAAUUGGGAAAUUAACAAAUUGGGCCGAAAAUAUCUACAACCGCUAAAAUUCGCAGGGCCAGGAGUCGUGGGUUCUUCUUUUUCAAAGGUCGUGAACUUUAACCCAGCGCUUUUGGACACGUCAGCACCACUCGCCGCCGCGGCCCUGUCGCGGCGACACGUGUCCCCGCCCGAUGGGAAAUGGGGUGGGCGAGGGGAGAGUGUGAUGCUUUGGGCGCUUCUCGGCCACACGUAAUUAUACCGGAAUUUUAAAUUCUGGGGGAAUAAUUAUAGCCACAUGAUUGGGAUAUUGUUUUUUUCGUUUUUUUCAAUUUUUUAAUUUUAAUUUAAAUUUAAUUUGUGGGUUGGUGGGGCCCGGAUAGGUGGAGCGGUGGCGGGGCCAUGGACGUGUUCGGUGGAGGGUUCCAGAAACGAGAGGUGUUGAACGGAGGGAGGAUCACGGACGUUGAUGGGAGAUCGGAGGGAUGGGAUUUUUCGGGAGAUUAGUGCUAGAUUAUAAGUGCUCCCGCGGUGAGACCAUCAAAUUCGCCUUUAGUACUAUUUUGAGUUUCAUGUAUUUUACUUCAUAAAAUGAUAAAUUUGAUGGCCUCAUCACAGAAAGAGAUUUUGGAUAAGACAGCAAAAUUUUAAUAAUUAUAUAUCCACUAAUUUUUUUGUGAAAACGACAUAGUCGUGCCGUUAAUUAGCACCGUAAUCUAUUCGUAGCGUUCAUUUUAGACCGCACAGGUAUAUUCUCCGCCUAACAAGUUAAAAAAAAUUAAGAAAACAGUAAUAUGAAUUAAGUUAUAAUAGUGAGACAACAGACUUGGAAAAAAAAUAAAUAAAUAAAAACAAAAACAAAAUUAUGUACACGGAUUAAGAUAUAUUAACUAUCUUCACGUAUUAUUGUGAUCUUUUCAUUUCAUUUAGGGUUCGGUUUAAUAUUAGUUUUCAAAUUUUAAAGUAUUAUGUCAUUUCUCUUCAGCUACAUGAACCAUCAGACCACAACAACUGUCAGUAAAUCUUUUCUUCUUAUUUUUGUUGUAUCUAUCUAUAUUCGACAUACUUACAAAAGUUUUUCAUAUUGACAUGUUAUUUAAUGUUGUAUCAGAAUUAGACAGUAGACGGAAGAGCAGGUGUCUGUUACAUGCAUAAUUCAUGAGCAGAUUGUUUAUAUUUUUAAAUUCGACAGCACAUAAUUUAUGCAAAUAUUAAUAUAUAGAAAUAAUUUGUUCAAUGUCCAUUUAGUUUUGAAAAAUAAUUAAUAUAUUUUUAUGAUGAUCAAGUAAUAAAUUGUACAAAAGUGGAAUAAUAAUUCAUAUUCCAUCAAAUCUGUUCGUAUUAUUAUUCGUACAGAAACCUAGAACUUGCUGCAAUAGUACGGAAUAAUCGAAUUUUAUAGAAGUGGAAAACCGACAUAAUUUAAUGCCACGUACAUGUGUUGCAUCUUGUGAGAAUAAUAAUAGUAAUAAUAAUAAUAAUAAAAUAAUAACUAGGGUCAAAGUAAAAGUAACAUAUCUGUAAGUUAGGAUUCAUUUUUGAGCUUCGAGAGAAAAAUAAAAUAUAUAUCAAUACACUUUUUUUUUUUGCUAGAUAAAACUAAAUUUAAUUAAAUUUCGUUUGUAAAUAAAGUGAAUAUAAUUAAUAAUUAUUUUUGCAUAAUGAUAAUAGUAUCGUAUCAUUUGUGAUUAAUAAUAUUACUUUAAAGAGAAAAAUCAAUUUUAUUUAUUCAAAAUGCCACAUGUCAUGGCAAUACGUCUCAGCAUUUAAUCUAAAGACCAACUUGUAUUCGUCAAUCACUAGUCCAACCACCUAUUUAAUGCCGCUAAAUGCUAGAUUACUUGUAAACUUGCACUUUACCAUCAAAGGAAAAAAAAAAAAAAAAAACGAGCUAUUUAUUGCAUGGCAAGUUUAAACUUAAACCAACUAAAACAUGAAUGCUAAAUUUGAGGUCAAAAUCAAAAAUAAAACAUUACAGAGUUACAUUUUAGUUCUGCCGUUCUUUUAUUGCAAAUCUUUCGGAACAGUUGCUCUCUCUCUCUCUCUCUCUCUCUCUAUAUAUAUAUAUAUAUAUAUUUCAAAUCUUUUGGAGCAAGUUGUUGACUGUACUUGAGCGCGAGUUUUGCUCAGUGAUUAGAUAAUUACGAUUUUGAAUCCUAGUUUAUUAUUGCAGCUCAGGUAUUCAACUUUUCAAAUUGUUCUUGUGGUAAAUUAUUAUGGAGCGAAUGAAAGAUAAUCACAUCAAUAGAGGUCAAAAAGUAUAUAACUCAAAAAACUUUAGAACAUCGUAGCAUAAUAUCUAGCACUUGUUGAUAGGUCAAAGGGAAACAAAGUGAGGGGAAAGAUUAUAAAGGGUAUGAAUAUAAAAUCUUAAAAGGAACCUGCAAUGCGGCACGAAACAGACAAUUCCUAUUGAAUUAAGCUGGGAAGAUAUUGAAAUCUGGUUCUUGUUAAGUUCCUGUCGAAGUUAGUUCUACACUGACAGUGGAGCCCAAUUCUAGUCAUCAGGCACUGUGCAUGAGUUGGGUAUAUUUAGGCAUGUAUGGGAGAGCAUUGCAUGUUAGAAAAUCUGGGACAAGUUAAAGUUUGGUGUAGAGAGAUAUAUGAAGCUUUAAGUUUGGUGUAGAGAGAUGUUUCCAUCUUUUACCCUUGCCAAACCAGUUGAAUCAGUUUGAUGAGACCAUUUUAGUCACAAAUGAGAGUUAAUUCUGAUGUGUCAAUCAAUGUUUUGAAAUCUAGUUAAAAUCUGCAUGAGGAGACUAUUUUAUAUAAUAGCAAACUAGUUGUACACCAAAAACUUGUCAAAUGAUCAGUCGGGCUAGUGUGAUCGAAUAAAUAAAAUUUUGGUAACAAAUGUUAAAGCAUUGCGAUUGAAUAGAUCCAGCCAAUGUGACAUCUAAAGUAACCUCAAACAUUUCCUAUUAGUCAAAAAUUUCCACAUUGAUGAUAUUUACUAGAGAGAUUGGCUUAGUUCAUUUCAAACUCCAAACUAUGCACUAGCCAGAAGAAUGUUUAUUAUUUAUACCCUGAUUGCAAAAUAGUAAUUUUAAUCAUUUAUAUUCAACAGAUUCAGAAGCAGUGAUGUUAAGAAGAGUGGUUAAUCGGGUCAGACUAUCGGAUCCCAUGUGAUCUUUAUCGGGGCUCAAGAAGCUCAUGAACGAGAUGUGGGUCAAAAUAACACUUAUUGAUGAGUCAAGAUUCUGAUCAUUUAGAUAUGUAUUCUGUAGGCAACUUAAUUGGGCCCAACGAGAACUUUAUUAUUUUCAUUUGAUUCUUCAAAUAAAUAUCUAUAAAAUGCAAUUCUAACACAUAUAAUAUCAAAAUAUAUUUAAUUGGAUUCAUAAAUUAUUGCUAUAUGGUUGGCUUGCUAGUGGGACGACACUGGUCCUAUCGCGCGUGUGAGUAAUGAGUUCUCACAUUAAAGUGAUUCUUAGCUUUUGUUUUUAUUUUUUCGCUCCUUUUCUUUUUUUUUUUAAGUGUCUCGUAAGCCUCUUAUUCUAAAACUCCGUUUAAAAUCUACAAGAUCAAAAUCACUAACAACACAAAAUAUAUAUGUUGUAAUUGUAUGCGUAUAAUACUGAAGAGUAAGCAGAAAACACUUUCAGAUUGAAGAAACUAUCAUAUGUGCUUAGUAACUAUAUAUUCACCGAACUUCUGAAACCUACUAUUAAAGAGAUUUUAAAAUCAAAUUCUACUUUUAAUCCAUUCUAUAUUCAAAAGAUUAUAUGUGAGCGUGUUACAUUUUUUUGUUUGAUAAAUAGAAGUUAUAAUUUUUUAAGAUGGUGAAGGUCUCAGAUCCUAACGGCUUAUUUUGGUUCUGAACUUAGUCUACCGUCUCAGAUACGAACUGAUACGCAACCAACCUCUAUUCCACUACUUGUUCUAAUCCUUACUGUUUUAAAAUAAAAUAAUUUUUAAAUAUAACAAACAAUCGAAAUUCAUCCCCGGCAAUGAUUUUAUGUAGCAAUAAUGGAGAUUACUACGUAAAGUCCACAGAUGAUGCUGUGAACCAGGUCCAGGCAAAUGAUUUCUCCAGUAAGCUAGGAUCUUCUUGUGGCUUAUCCACCUAUUGGAAAAAAAAUAAAAAUAAAAAUAAAAAUAAAAUGGGUACCGACUGUCCCUAGAGCAAGUGGCAAAGAAUUUGGUGGUUGGUAUCCGAGACCCAAGUUCGAAUCCUAGUUGAUUUACAUUUCUAGCUAAGUUUAUUUUUAAAUGAAAUAAACGAAGCGGAUAGUGUGCUACNUUUCUCUCAAAAAAAAUUAAAAAAAAAAAUGUGUCAGAAACUGUAGAGCCCCUUUUGGGCCUAUUUGUUUGAGUGAAAAUAAAGAGGGGUGAAGUCAUUUUUGAUCGUAAACUCGCUUUAAGCCGUGUCGACCCUCAAUUGGGCCUAGUUGGGAGACAUGACACAGUGGAGGGACUGGGUCGAACCCUCCUACAUGGGUGGCCCACUCAUAUUAUUUUAUCUUCAUAUUAUUGCACUGUUUACUUCUUUUGUUCUUUAUGCUGAGCUGUCUCCUGCUUGUAUUUAAAAGUAUUGAUAUAUUUAUCCAUAAUUUUAUAAAUAAAUUAUAUUUUUUGUACACAAAUUAUGAAACUCAUGAUAUUUUGGCUUAUAAAUUUUAGGAAAAACUUCAAAUACUCCCCUUGUGGUUUCACUCUUUCUCACUUUAGUACCAUGUGGUUUAAAGUGUAUCAAGUUAGCACCCUGUGGUUUCGCACUUUCUCACUUUAGUACCCUGUGGUUUAAAGUGUAUCAAGUUAGUACCCUGUGGUUUCACACUUUCUCACUUUAGUACCUUGUGGUUUCACACUUUUUCACUUUAGUAUCCUGUGGUUUAAUAUUUCAUUAAGAGAAAAAUAAAACCACAGGGCACUAACUUGAUACAAAAAUAAAACCACAAGGUACUAACUUGAUAUAAAAAUAAAACCACAGAAUACUAACUUGAUACACUUUAAACCACAGGGUACUAAAAUGGGAAAGUGCGAAACCACGGGGUACUAACUUGAUACAUUUUAAACUAUAGGGUACUAAAAUAAAAAAAUACGAAACCACAGGUGAGUUUUUUGAAGUUUUCACUAAAUUUUAAUUUUUGUAAUGUUUUCUUUAAAAUUUAUAUCUUAUUAUAAUUAAAGUCUCACGAUUCAAUUUAGUUGGCUAAAUAUUGUUGAAACACCGGCUACCAUAAGCACUGUCCCUCUUAUUGUGGGAGUAGGUGUAACCUAAUUUGACAGUAAUUGUAAUGUAACUUUUGCUGCCUUUUAGCCAUCGAGACAACGUGCUCGACGACCAUUCCGAUCACUGCUAGACCACCGCAUCGUAACCAACGAACGUAUUCCCCAAUGCCGCACGUCUCCAACUGCGUGAUCCUGUAAUUUCGAGGAUCACCGCCGCACAGCAAUUCCAGAGUCGCCACUUUGGGCCGGAGAGCGGCCGAAUCUCGAAAGCCGAAGCGCCAGACCUUCGGCUUGUUAGUGUGAAGAUGUUGACAUCUUUCCUCAAGCUCGAACUCCACCAAAUCGCUUCCUCUCCGAUCUGCAUCGGAGAGACGAAAUCAAAUCGCGCCUUUCACAGCGAAGGAUGUUGUUACCUGUCAGCUCCCGAGCCAGAUCGUUCUACAUGAGCCGCCGCGAUUUUUCUCAGCCAACAACCAAAGCUGUGCUAUUUGAAGGACAAUAAAGUAAAUGAAAAGUGCCAAAAACUACAAUGGAUAAAACAGGGCUAGAAAAGGUAAAAAUCCCUCUACUCUAGUCUCUAUUUUAAAAUUUUGAUAGAACGAACAAAAAUUUGGUAAAAUUGGUCGUUACUUUACUAAUAUAUCAAUAAUAAUAAAAAGGAUUGGUCUUUACGUACUAUAAGGUAUCCACCAGUUUUUCUUUUACCAGAAUAGGUUUGCAUUUAAAAAAAAAAAAAAAAAAAAAAAAAACCUCGUCACGUGGUAAUCGUGGGUCCCACACGUAUAAACUAUCUUGCCCGGAACGCAAACCAAUGAAUGCUCGCCAAGUGGGCCCCGGUCCGCCCACAACUCAGGCCCCCUUCUUUCGUGGCGUGGACGACGACCCUUAUCCACCAAUCGAGGGCGUCUCGUCUCCUUGACCAGUUACCACCAACUCAUAUAUAUAUAUCUCUUCCCCUGUUCUCCACCACUAUUAUAACUUUUAUUAUUUAUUAAAGAAUAUCCGACCACUAUUGGGCGAACACUUGUCACGUCGCCAACGGCUCCCCCCGGACGAGUCGCGUGACGACACAUGUCGCUGAAAAAUUUAUUUCACGGGCCACCUCAGCAAUCAAGAGACAACGCUACUUGGCUCCCAAAAAAAUUCAUUCUUAUACCACGUCAUCUAUUCAAAUUAAUUAUAUUUUUUAAAAUAUAAUAAAACAUUAAAAAAACUAAUUAAAUAAAAAUGUCAGAUUAAUAAUAUAGCUGAUAUUUUUUAAAUUUUUAUUGCCCCGAACCCUUUUGGGCUACCAAAUCUAGAAAAUCUAGAACCACUGCUCCUCCCUCCUUCCUCUCUCUCUCUCUCUCUCUCUCUCUCUCUACACAGCUGGAUACAGGAGACAUCCACUUCGAUCCAAUUAGAUCUCGGCAAUCAAUUCUACACCUAAUUAAAACCAUUACCCAAUCAAAUGAGAAAUUAUUACCUGCACCGCAUGCGUAAGUACAUCUAAUACACCGCCCUCUAAGACCCUAUUUGAGAGAGAGAGAGAGGGUACGAAAAUCGGAUCUAAUUUGUUGAAUAGAGUUCAAUUUUUCGCACUACCUGAUACUUAGUAAGUUUCGACAGUUUAUGAUAUUUUUUAACAAAUUGGUUAUUUAGACAUGUAGUGUCGCAUCUAUCACGUUCUGUGCGGUGCAUGAGAUUUGUAGAUACAUCAGGUGCAGCCAAUGACUUACUGUCUUAUAAGUACUUUUUUGAUUUUUGAUAGGAAAUAAUAUAAUUAUUUUCUCUUUAUGAUCUAAUAAAGUUUUCGAUCUUGCUACACGCACUAAUGCACUAACCAGUGGACAAAAAUCUGUUGGGCAACAUCCCCAAACUAUUUUAGUUUGGGGACAAUGCGGAUGGGUGCCACGUGGCCCAUCCGACGGCACCUACGAAAGGAAACAAAAAAAAAUGAUGCCUUGUAUUUUUAGAGAGAGAGAAAGCAGCAUAUGGAGAGAGAGGGCAACCGUGGGAUGGGCCAUGUAGCGCCCAUCCGCAUUGUCCCCAAACUAAUAGUUUGGGGACUACGCCCAGCAAAUUUUUGUCCCUGACCAGUUCUAUGGCGUUAGGGUGCACAAGUUUUGAUUAGACCUGUUAGUGUCUAAUUACCUGAUUUCUCGGAUGAGUACUCUAACCUAACAGUGAAAUUGGCUAAGUCUAGUUUGAGAACCUGACAAGUCUUCUUUUUUUUUUUUUUCCUUUUGUUGGGUAUCGAUGAGUUGAUCAAUCCAAUCCAUUAACCCCCGGAUCCAGAUACCUGCUAGUGAGUAUGACAAGACUUGAUCUGUUUAGUGGACCCAACCCUACAGUACUGUUUACACCGACUCGAUCGACAAACACAACUAGUGUUUAUAAUGUACUGGUCAAGAAUAGCUCAUAUGCACCGACUGUCUCGAGAGCAAGUAAUAAAAAACUUAGUGGUUUGUACAUGAGAUUCCAAGUUUGAAUUCUAAUUAAUUCACAUUUCUAACUAAAUUUAUUUCUAAAUGAAAUAAACGAAGCGGGUAGCGUACUACCUAUCUCUCUCAAAAAAAAAAAAAUAAUAGCUCAUAUACAUAGGGGCAACUCGGUCUUUGGAGAAGACCUAUUCUAUCUUUUGUUGCAUCAAUUGACUGAACCCGUGUCAGAUCCACACUGCAGUACUUUAAUCGUUUGAUUCGAAUAUAAGUAAGAAAUAGUUAUUUCAGGGAUAAGGUAUAAGAUGAGGUAUAAUUAAGGUGGGUAUAGAGUAAUUUUGUGUUUGAUUGUGAGUAUUGAGUUUAGUCAGGUAUAAGUGAAAUAGUAUUUGGUUGGAGUAAGUAAGUAAAAUAAGAAGGAUAGUGGGUGAUUAUAAAUAAAAAAUAAUAAUAUUGCCCUCUUUAUUAUGUGUGAAUUAAAAUUUUUAAAUUUUAUAUUUAAAAUUUUAAAUUUAAAUAUAUAACUCUUAAAUUUUAAAAAAUACAAAAUUAAAAAUUGAAUUUAAAAAUCUCAAAUACGAAAAUUCAAAGUUCUAAAUUUUUAAUUUCAAAUUUUAAAUUUAAGAUCAAAUCUAAAUUUAGAAAUAUAAAAUCUUAAAUUUUAAAUUUAAAAAUUUAAAUAUAUCAAAUUUAAAAUUUAUAAUUUAAAUUCUAAAAUUUAGAAUUUAAAAUUAUAAAUUUUAAUUUUAAGAUUACAAAUUAUCAAUUUUUAAAAUUUAUAAUUUACAUUUUAAUUUUAAAUUAGAUAAGGGUAGGAAUAGUUAUUCUCACCCUAGGAUUGCUAACCCCGCCCCUUAACAGGUUAUUCCGGAAUAACCGGUUAAGAGGAGGGAUAGCAAUCCCACCCUUUUUUUUGUUUGAAAAUAUAAGAGGUGGGAUAAGGGGUUAUCCCACUCCUUUAUAUCCCAACCAAACGAGAACUAAGAUUCACACCGAACGAAUUUGAGCAACAAAAAAAAAAAAGAGGUGUUUGAAAAGAGUUUUUGGUCGCAUAGUACACUGUUGAUUUAUUUUUCGCCUCACUUUUCUCGUUUUUCAUUUCUUAAUCAUCAUUUUGGUGCCAGGGGGAUAACAAUCAAUGUGCAGUACCUACUACCAUCCCAAGCCAAUGCUUAUAAUAUCUCCUGUUAGAUAAGCAGCAGCCAUUAAGAAGUGGUGCCAAUUCACCAGUACCAAAUUACACACCCCAUUUCAUUGUUGAUGUUGAUGUCUCCCAAAGCUCACGUAUCCCUUUUUGUGAUCCCUUAGCUUGCUUUAUAAUUGGUUAUUGGAUGCUUCAGAACAUUAAUGCUCAUACAGAUCUUAUUCAAGAUAGUAAUUAAAUACAUCAACGGUGAUUAAGAAGGUGAAGGUAAUUUUACGUAUAGUGCUUCAUUUGCAUGAAUCAUUUAUGACUACUUGUGUCUACAAAUUGUUGCUUGUAGAUUUAGUUGUGCAAUGAAAUGACUUUACAUUUUUAAUCAAGGUACCUCUUUGUAAAUUUGUGCUAGAUUUGCCGAAACCUGAUUUCUUGAACAGCUUUAUUCAUCAUUGUAUUCACUUUCAAAACUUAAUAAAAGCCCCACGCACCCACAACAUAUAUAUGCCACAUUAGUUCAUGCAUGUAGCAUAGUGGAAUAAGCACGCUCUCUGAUUAUUAUUAUUAUUAUUAUUUUAUAACAUUAAGAAACAAAAAGGUCAAAACAAAGUUCAUUCAUUUCUUGAAAAUAAUUAUCGACAGCUAUUUAUUCGGUGCUCUGAUCGCAACAUAACUAGUUUUAUAUAUAUAUAUAUAUAUAUAGUUAUAGUUAUAUAGAGAGAGAGAGAGAGAUGUAGAGAAGAGGAGAGAUAGAGAGAGAGAGUAGAGCUACUAUUCAAUUAUGACACUACAACAGAAUGAGAGAGAGAGAGAGAGUAGAGUACUAUUCAUUAUGACACUACAACAGAAUUAGUUAUAGGGACACAUAUUUGGGACACUUUUGAGAACUGUCCCAUUUAUGCUAAAACUUAAAAAAAAUAUCUAUAAUAUGCCUAAAUAUAAAGCCCAAUCCAAUCAAAAAUAAAAGAUUACUCUACUCAACCCACCACACCCAGUCCAUUUGACCCGAUUACAAACAGAAAAGAAAAAAAGAAAAAGAAAAAUCAAUUACCAUAUUUUCUUCUCUCUUCACUCAAGCCACUCAAAUUCUAGACGAAAAGCCAUUCCUGUCGUCCUCCUCCGCCACCGCAGCCAACGAGAUAAAGUUUCGGCGGUUGCUAAAUGCUUAAAUAAAUUUUUGGUAAAUUAGUAGUACUCUUUUAGGUUAUAGCGACACUCUUUAACUAUCACUAUAUACCUAGCGACCCUACAUAUAGCAACACUUUUUAAAAGUGUCGGUAAUUUUAGCUAGCAGCACUUUUUUGACAUGUACCUACAUUUAAAAGUGUCGCUAUAGACCGUUUUUGUUGUAGUGUGAGUAUUGGGCCCUUGGUACUCUUAAGUUGUUUUCGAUGAUGGAGCUUCCGAAUCGGCAAUCCGCUCCGUUAAAUAUGAUCUAGAGUAUUUGAAACUUUUAAGUAAAUUUCGUCAUUUUUCGAAAUCAUAAUAAAGUCCAUCAAGCGGGCAUAAAAUGAAGGGUCAAAAUCGAACGAUGUCUUAAAAAUUGAUGUUCGGAUUCUUCAAUUUAAGAUUAGAGUUAUUGAUCUUUAUCUAGGUAAUGAAUAGAAUUUUCUAUCAAAAAUUUAACCUAUUCGGAUUCUUUUGCACCAUUAAACUAGCAAGUAUUCCAUACCGGCCGUUAAAAAUUGUCAAUUUUGUGAGCUUUUGAUCGUAAGUUAAAUGAUGUCGAAAAAUUAUGAAAUUUGAUUUCUUGAUGUUUCAAAUGCUCUAGAUAACGUUUAACGGUGUGGAUCGUCGAUUCGGAAGCUCUAUCAUCGAAAACAACUUAUGAGUACGAGGGUAUCGUACUCAUAAUAAGUAUAGCAGCGGACUCUAUAUUAUAAUAUAUAAUAUAUAUAUAUAUAGAGAGAGAGAGAGAGAGAGAGAGAGAGAGAGAGGUUGAGCUAGGAUACUUUACAAGUAUCACCUCCAUUGUGUUAUUAGGUUUUAGCAUUGGAUCUACUUUUAAUUACUAAUAGUCCUUGGAUCAAAUACUAUUCCACCUACCCACUCCACCAUCAUCUCAACCUCAUCUCUCCAUCCAAAGGCUAAAAAUACUAAAGCACCACCCAGGUGAUACUUGUAAAAGUAUUCUAGCUCACUCUUAUAUAUAUAUAUAUAUAGAGCUAGCUACUAUACUAUCGGUAGCACGGAGCGCUCCGUGCUACACAGUUGUUUUCGAUGAGUGUGUCUUCCAAAUCGAUGAUCGGCUCCGUUAGAGUUGAUCUACACUAUUGAAAGUAUUAGAAACUAAAUUUUAUAUUUUUCGAUAUCAUUUACCUAUCAAACAAGUAGUCUAAAAUUGAACGCUGAAAAUAAAAAUCUCAUAAAAAUGAUGAUAAAAAAGUUGAAUUCAAGAUCGGAUAUACUGAUUAUUCUAAAUAGUGAAAAGAAUUUUCUAUAAAAUUUUUCAUCGCAUUUGGAUUCUUUUACAUCGUUAAACUCACACAACACACCACAUCGGCCAUUAAAACUGUUAAUUUUGAGAUCUUUUGAUCACUAGUAAAGUGAGGUCGAAAAAAUUUGAAAUUUUGUUUCCAAAUACUUUCAAUGUGUAGAUCAAGUCUAACGGAGAGCCGAUCGUCGAUUUGAAGCCGCAUCAUCGAAAACAACUUGGUAGCACGGAGCGCUCCGUGCUACAAAUAUAAAUAUUAUAUAAGGCAAUAGUAGCUCGGACUAAUAUAUAUAUAUAUAUAUAUAUAUAUAUAUAUAUAUAGGGCAUGGCUACUAUACUAUUAUUAGUAUUUGAGCCCUCGUACUCAUAAAGUUGUUUUCAAUGAUGGAGCUUCCGAAUCGACGAUCCACUUCGUUAAAUAUGAUCUAGAGUAUUUGAAACUUGUAGAAAAUAAAUUUCGUAAAUUUUCAAAAUCAUAAUAAAGUCCAUCAAGCGGGUAUAAAAUGAAUGGUCAAAAUCGAACGACGUCCUAAAAAGUAUGAUCAGAUCCUUUAAUUCAAGAUCAGAGUUAUUGAUCUUUAUCUAUGUAGUGAAUAGAAUUUUCUAUCAAAAAAUCAACAAAUUUCGAUUCUUUAAUACCGUUAAACUAGCAAGUAUCUCAUACCGGCCGUUAAAAAUUGUCAAAUUUGUGACCUCUUGAUCGUAAGGUAAAUGAUGUCGAAAAAUUAUAAAAUUUGAUUUCUAGAAGUUUUCAACGCUGUAAAUAACGUUUAAUGGUGUGGAUUGUCGAUUCGGAAGCUCUACCAUCGAAAAUAACUUAUGAGUACAAGGGCGAUCGUACUCAUAAUAGUAUAGUAGCCGGACCCUAUAGUAUAUAUAUAUAUAUAUAUAUAUAUAUAUGAAUUUAGCUAUAUAUAUAAUUACAACCUGAAGCUGAAUCCACUGAAGGAAAGAUGCAAAAUGACAUGAAGAUGAUGAAUAAUUGGGUUUCAGCCCAAGGCCUGAUCAGGAAUGUCCAGGGCUAGCCCAAUCAUCAGCUGAUAGACUCUGGCCCAUCUGGAUAUUUAAUUCUGCAAACUUAUGAAGAGUAUCCCUUUAUCAUCCUAGCAUGAGCUGGAAUUUGUUGCCCAGGUUGAGAUCUGGAGUUUGAUCCUGCUUGUGCUUUUGUCGAAUUAGGCUCGCGCCUCUUAUUAAAACAAAAGUACCAUACAUACCAGAGGAUUCGAGCCAGAAACCUACAGACAAAGCUCCAAGAAACAAAAAGAAACAGCAACAGCAACAACAACAACAACUUGAGCUAUUUCUUUAUGCUAAGCGGUAGGCUCAGUAUCGUAAAUUUUACAAAAUGCUUCUGAUUAGAUUGGAGUGCGACUGCAUUGAGAAGAUUCUCAAUGAAAUGACCUCACCGAGACAAUUUGAAGAGCUGUGUGAUUUACCACACUUUUGAAACUUAAUUGUUUAUUUCAGUAUAAAGACACUCUGUCUAAAUCUCAACAUGAUGGGUGAUAGAUCUCGAGGGGCCAGCAAAAAAGAAUGAGAUGCUCCUAAUACAAAUAUUGUUUAGUAGUAUUGACUCGAUCCAAAUCCAAAUUAAUGUGACGAGCACGUACUUAAUUACUUUCUUGUUAUUCUCCAGAAUCAAUCUAGUUUUGAAAAAAUUGAAAUUUAAAAUUUUUAAUUCCUUUAUUUUUCGUUUCCUCGCAAAAUUGAGCAACGUUGCUCGUGCAUGUUAUUCACCCGAAGAAUCCGGCACCACGUCGGGUCAACAUAACGACUUUGAAGGUAACUCAAUCAACUAGAUCUUUAAUAAAAAGAAAGAAAGAAAAAAAAAAAAAAGUGAAUUAAAAACUACUAAACUUGAUCAUUAAAAGAUCUGUGUAAACUUUUACACCGACAUGAUGACCAUUUAAUAAAUAUAGAAAAUUUACGGCACGACUUUGUUGAAAAGUUUAUUACAGGAAUUAUUAAAAUAAUUUGAUGGACGGUAUAAUUCAUACCGCGUCCGAAUUUUAAAACAUUGUUUUAAAAUAAAAGUAAAUUUUUCACAUGAAUGAAUUUCACUACAACAUUGAACAUUGAUAAAAUAUAAUGAGGCGCUCCUCACUUUUAAGUGUUUUCUGAAAUAUUUGAAACUGUUUAAUUGAAGGGUUGACUUUGUCCAUGAUUUUUGGGUAGGAGCAUUUCAUAAUUUGGAACUCUUUAAUUGUAGAGUUGACCCCAAGUCCAUGAAGAUAAUUAAGGCUCCAGCAGCCAUGCAUAUUAACAGACAUGUAGAAUUAAUAUUUCUCAUUAUGUGCAGAGAGAGAAAAUGAGUACCAUGAAAUAUAAUUUAGAUUCUAAAAACUAAAUCUUAUAUUUUUUAACAUCAUAUGCCGAAUUGAGCUAGACUACUUUAGAAGUAUCAUCUCUUUUUUACUUCUAAGUUUCUAGCCUUUGGAUCUAUUUUUGAUUACUAAUAGCCUUUGGAUCAAAUACUAUUUUACCUACCACCACCUACUACCAUCAUUCCAACCUUACUUUUCUCCAUCAAAGAGUUAAAAACUCAAAAACACUAACCUCUUGUCGCUUUUGAGAGUAUUCUAGCCCAACUCUCAUAUACCUUACGAUCAAUGGGCAUCAAAAUUGAUAUUUUUAACGAUCGGUAUGAAACGUUUUUCAAGUUAACGGUCUAAAAGAAUCGAAAUUAUUUAAUUUUUAAUAAAUAAUUUUAUUCACUGUGUAGAUCAAGAUUAAUAACUCUCCGUCUUAAAUUUAAAAAUUCUAUCCUCUGUUUUUAGAAUAUCAUCCGAUUUUAACUAUUCUAGAAUAUUUAAUUCUCUAAAUUAUAUAUAUUUAUUAGUAUUAAUAGUUGAGUCAAAAAUUUCAACAUCAAAAAUAAUUUAUAAACACAAAAGGGAUCAUACUAUAAUAGUAUAAUAGUAUAAUAAUCCUAACCUCACAGUGUGUAUAUAUAUAUAUAUAUAUGUAGAGCUAGACUGGUAUACUAUCGGUAGCACAGAGGCCUCCGUGCUACCAAGUUGUUUUCAAUGAUGCGGCUUCCAAAUCGACGAUCGGCCCCAUUAGACUUGAUCUAUACUAUUGAAAGUAUUUGAAAACUAAAUUUCAUAAUUUUUCGGCAUUAUUUACCUAUCAAACGAAUAAUCUAAAAAUGAACGGUUGAAAAUAAAAAUCUCAUAAAAAAUGAUGAUAAAAAAGUUGAAUUUAAGAUCGGAGAUACUGAUCUUACUCUAAAUAGUAAAAAGAAAUUUCUAUAAAAAUUUCAUCAAAUUUGGAUUGUUAUAUACCGUUAAAUUCACAAACGCAUCACAUCUAUCAUUAAAAUUGUUAAUUUUGAGACCUUUUGAUCACUAACUAAAUGAUGUUGAAAAAUUAUAAAAUUUAGUUUUCAAAUACUUUUAAUAUUGUAGAUAAAGUUUAACGGAGCCGAUCGUCGAUUUGGAAGCCGCAUCAUUAAAAACAAUUUGGUAGCACGGAGACCUCCGUGCUACCGAUAGUAUACCAGUCUAGCUAUAUAUAUAUAUAUAUAUAUAUAUAUAUACUAGUAUAUAUAUAUAGAGAGAGAGAGGAGAGAGAGAGAGAGAGAGAGAGAGAGAGUUGAGGCUAGAAUACUCCAAGCAUAAGGGUUAUGCUUUUGAAUUUUUAGCUAUUGAUGUUAGAGAUGUAGAGUUGAGAUGAUGAUGUAGCGUGGUAGGUGAAGUAUUGUUUGAAUCCAAUAAUUUACUUAGUAAUCAAGGAGAUAAGAUUAAUUAAAAACUAGAAAGCACCAAAGAGGUUGGCUUUUUUAAGAGUAUUCUAGCUCAAUUAAAAUAUAUAUAUAUAUAUUAAUAUAUAUAUAUUAUAAUAAAUAUAUAUAUUUUUAAUUAAUUAAAUAAUAUAUAUAUAUAUCUGGAAUACUAUUAUAGUAAAACCCUCAUUUUUGCUAUCAAGUUUUUAAGCCUUUGGAUUAAAAAUUGUAGGGUUAGGAAUGAUUAUUUAGUUAGUUAGAGUUGAGUGGUCCCCUAGGGUUGAGUGUCUCUACUGGGUUAUACGUAUUAAUCCAAUGGUUAGAAAUGAUGAAAAAGAUUGUUCAAAAGCUUAAAAAAUUGGGUAGCAACAAUGGGAUUUUGCACACCGACCGUCCCCUAGAGCAAGUGACAACAGGACUUAGUGGUUGUAGCGCGAGGCUCCAAGUUCGAAUAUCCUAAUUGAUUCACUAUUUCAGCUAAGUUUAUUUUUAAAUGAAAUAACGAAGGCGGGUUACGCGUGCUACCGUAUUUUCUCAAAAAAAAAAAAAAAAGAAUUUUGUUAAGCUAAUAGUAGCCGAGUCCAACUCUCUCUCUCUCUCGGUCGUCUCUCGUCUCAUCUGUCUCUCUGCUCUCUAUAUUAUAUAUAUAAUAAGAGAGAGAUGGGAGAGAAGAGAGAGAGAGGAGAGAGAGAGAAGAGAGUUGGACUGGCUACUAUUUAGUAGCAAAAUUCCAUUAUUGUAUCAGUUUUUUUUGACUACUCACUCUAACCAACUAAUAUCAUCCUGACCCUACAGACAUUUUUCAUCAAGGGUUAAAAAUUUGAAUAGGCAAAAAACCCGUUUGCUCUAAUAGUAUUCAGCCUAAAUUAUAUAUAUAUAUAUAGUAUAUAUAUAUAUAUAUAUAUAUAUAAUUAUAUAUAUAUAUAAUAGUAGGGCUAGAAUACUUUUACAAGUAUCCUCAAGUAUACUUGUGUGUUUUUAGCCCUUGGAAUGAAGAGGAGUGGUGAGAUGAGGUGGUAGGUGGUGGUAAGUGGAAUAGUGUUUUGAUCCAGAGGGGCUAUUUUGUAAUCAAACAAGUAGAUGCCAGAUGGUAAAAACGUGUAGCAACAUGGAGAUGAUAGUUGUAAAGUAUUCGCUAGAUCAACUAUAUAUAUAUAUAUAUAUAUAUAUAUAUAUAUAUAUAUUUGUAAAAUAAAAAAGGACCCAUUAUCCCUACAAUACCUACUUGCAUGCUCAGUUGACUCAAUGACAUUAAUUUCACAAAUCACAAACUUACUUAUUAUAUAUACAACUUAUCAAGAUCGAGAUCAAACAAUCGAUAAUGGAGAAGGAAAACAAGGAAGAUUACACCCUCAUUCACAUUAGCCACCUCCACCCCCUGCACCUCACCGACAUCCCCCCCGCGGUCGCCGCCGCUCCGACGUGCCAUGCCUGCCGCUUGCGGUGCAGCGGCUCCAUCUUCGAAUGCGCGCCGUGCCGCUUCGCGCUCCACCCACCGUGCGCCCGCCUCCCGAAGAUGCUCCCCCACCCCUCCCACCCGGCGCACCCCCUCUCCCUCCUCCUCGCCCCCGCCUACACCGAUGGCGGCAUCGGCGGCGGCUUCUUCGCGUGCGACGCGUGCCGCCGCGGGGGCGUCGCCUUCGCCUUCCACUGCUCCCACUGCAGCUUCGACCUCCACCCGGCCUGCGCGGCGCUCCCAGAGAGUGUCCACCACCCGUCGCACCCCCACCCGGUGGCGCUCACCUAUGAAUACCCUUUCCCCGCGGGCACACAUUUAGUAUGCGACCUGUGUCGAAAUUCGUGCGACCCCAUGCAGUGGUUUUACGUGUGCAUUGAGUGUCAAUUCGGCGGCCACGUCGGGUGCUUCGUGCCCACGUCGCCGGCCAAGGAGUUUUACCAGCAAACCGGUCCGGUUCAGAAGGAUGCAGCGGCGGCGGCGGCGGAGGCGGAUCAGGCGGCGGUGCUUCUGCGGCAGCAGCAGCAGCAGCUGAUGAAUGCGAUAAGUACGGCAAAUAUGAUGUCGGCGAACGCGAACAACUUCUUGAAGUCGGCGAUGAUGGGGGGGACGAUGCCGGGGUCGACAGUGCUCCGCGACAUGUCGGAGACCAACCUGGAGAUCAACUUCAACAAGCCGGGGAGCGAGCAUACGAGGAGGGAGAGGGAGAAGUUCUACGCCCAGGUGAAUUAAUGUUUUCCCCAGUUUUUUAUUUUAUUUUUUUUUGCUAGAUUUGUUUUUGAUGCAACAUUUGUAGUUAAUUAGAGCACUAGUUUUAUGUCAUAAGAAUUAACCACAGUGUACUUUGCAUCACGUACGAUUAAUUAGUGGCUACAUUGUGCCAUGUUUUUUAAAUAUUCAAGAUGAUGCAUCCUUUUUUUUUCCGCCUAUAUAUUUGGCUUAUGGAGCAAAUUAUUUGGUGAUAACAACCCCGAGAUAUUUUUUUUUAAUAUAAAAAAAAUAUCUAAAGAUUUUUUUUGCCCCUUGAUUGGAGUUUUAACUAUAAGUUUAUUUUUUUUGGCUUUUUAGUUUAAUUUUAGUUUAUUUUUUUGUAACAGAGGAGGACAUAUUUGAACUGAAGAAGAUGAGGGCUGUGCAUGCGAAAACGAUGCUGAGAACGAAGAAGAGUGUUGACUUUUGAGUUGCAUCUCGUCAUCCUGGUCGUUGAUUUACUUAUUACAGUAACAUUGAUGAACUUGUAUCAUUUAUUUGAUUUGAUAGCUUAAGAACUCAACCUAAACUAGUAUUUGGGGUUUUGCUCAUCUUAGUUGCGUAUUUGUUGGUCAUGAAUAUCGUAAUUUUCGCGGAUCAGUGGUUGCGAAUAAUACCAUCUUUUCUCCAUUAAAUUGUGGCUCUCUUUUUAGAUGUCACUGAUCAAUUGAUGAUCAGAAGCACUUAUUUGAUGCGUCAAAUUACCACCUCUGUAAUAUUCCAAAGUAAAAAUAAGCUUUGAACUUAGAAAUAUGUUAUUUAUACAUUAAAAAUGGAAAUAUAAAUUUUAAACUUUUUUAUUUUGGGGCUAAAAAAUUCUUUGAGUUUUUGGUAUAUAAGUAAAACAAUUUUUUUUUUAUUAACUAGAUAAGGGUCCAAUAAAAAUCCUUCAAUGAGGAGCUGUAAGAUGCAUAUAUAGUAUUGCUCUUUAAAACUUAUCGUGUAUAAUUUUUUUUUUCACAAUUUUUCAUAUAACAUAAACAAAGUCCAAACAUUGUGUUACAAUAAAUAAACGUAAAAAAAAAAAAAAUUAAUCUCAUCAGAUACAAACUACAAAAAAAUGAAUCAAAAGAGAGAGAAAAUAAAAUAUAAAAAUAAUUUACGUAAUUUUACAAUUGUCAUACACGAAUGGAGAUAGAAUAGAAGCUUUAAUUCUAACCAAAUUAGAGUACAAAAAAAAUCUCUCUUACUUUUAUAAUAUCCUUCGUCACGUCCACCUAAGAGUCCACCUAAGAGCUACAAAUUUAAAAGUACCAAUGAAUUAGUACUUUUAAAAAUAUCUCAAUUCACUUCGAGUUGAACUAUAUUAUAUCUAAAAGUACUAAUUUAUUGGUACUUUUAAGUUCUAGCCUUUUGAUCUACGUAUGUUUUGAUAAUUAGUAACUUUUGAAUCAAACACUAUUUCACUUACUAUCACUAUUCUAGCCCUGCGUCAUCUUCAUCAAAGAGUUACGAACUUAAAAGCACUAAUAGAUUUGUGCUUUUAGAAAUAUUCUAACUCAAUUCUCUAAUUUUAUAUUAAUAACUAAAUUAUAACAACAACAACAAUAAUAAGAAAAAUAAUUAUAAAUACUUUCAUAAGCCAAAAAUAGCGAGGCCGUUGAUUUUUUGUCACGGCGAAUCGUAUUCGUCCAUCAAUCAUAGGAGUGCACAAAAGCUAUAAUCCAACGUGAAGCGUUUCCAUCAUAAAAAUGUAUGAUAUCAACUCCGCACCACCUAAAUAAAAAUCUCUCUCCCCACAUUUAUCGAUCCGCUCCAAAAUCCCAAGCACUCGACCACCACUUCAUUCCCACCACCACUCUCCUCCACUCAUCCCAACCCCAAUCCCCUCACCCCACUCCACUCCUCUUCUUCUCCCUCACCACCUCUCCCCAAUACCUCGUCCUCUUCCUCUUCCUCUUCCUCUUCCUCUUUCUCCUCCUCCGUUGCUCGCUCCAAGCCAUCGACAAUGGCCGCCGCCGCCGCCGCAUUCGCCGCGGCCGUGUCCCUCCCCUCCUCCUCCUCCAUAUCCUCCCCUUCUCCCUCGCUCCACAAGGUGAGACCUUUUCCACCCCGCCCCGCCAUUAGAGAGCGUGCUUAAAAAGCUCACUUUUUGUGGGUUUCUCGUUUCGUUCCUUGCUUCGUAGACGUGCUUGUUGUACCCGAGAGGCGUCGCAAAGGCCGCAGUCGGGAGAGGGGGCGGCGUUGCGCCGUUACGAGCUCAGGUGACCACCGAGGCUCCGGCGAAGGUUGAGAAGGUCUCGAAGAAGCAGGACGAGGGGCUCGUCACCAACAAGUUCAAGCCCAAGGAGCCCUUCAUCGGCCGCUGCCUCCUCAACACCAAGAUCACCGGCGACGACGCCCCCGGCGAGACAUGGCACAUGGUCUUCAGCACCGAUGGUCCAUCUCUCUUACUUUCUGCGGUUUCUGCGUGCUAGGGUUUGCUCAAUUUCGAGGAACAUGAGGUGGGUAUUUCGUUUUUUUUUUUUUUUUUUUUUUUGCAGGGCAGGUGCCCUACAGAGAGGGGCAAUCCAUUGGAGUGAUCCCUGAUGGGGUGGAUAAGAAUGGGAAGCCCCACAAGCUGAGAUUGUACUCCAUCGCCAGCAGCGCUCUCGGAGACUUCGGCGAUUCCAAAACCGUGAGUGAAUUGUGAAUAGAAUUACCGACGUUUCGAUUCAUUUCCUCGCAAAUUCGUAAAUUUUGAUUCUUGCAUAUGCUGGUAUGUCCUGAGGAGUGUGCCAUUUAAAUCCUUGUUAAGUUGCAUGCAAUUCGAAGAGCUUCACAGCAAACCACCGAUCAUGUUAGCACUGAUUUUAAGUUCUUUGUGAAUCAUGGAUUUAUCAUUUUGGUUGAUUACUUGCUGAUUGGCAUGCAUUUAACAUACUAAAAAGUAGGAAAAUUUUCACAUGCUUUUUAUUGGGUGGUUGAAGUUCAACUAUAUUGCUCUGAUAUUACUGUUAAAAGAAAACUGAUUGGAUUCAGCAUGCGGGGGGGUUUGGCGUUUCCGCAGGUUUCUCUCUGCGUGAAGCGGCUUGUUUAUACCAAUGAGCAGGGGGAGAUAGUGAAAGGAGUUUGCUCGAACUUCCUAUGUAAGAGCUUCAACUUCUCUCUCUCCCCUGUGAAUUACCGAAUGAUUCGGCGCAGAAUUUGAGAUUUUUUUUUUUUUUCCAUUUACGAGAGUACUCUUAAACUGGUUUCCUGCUGUUUGUUCCCCAGGUGAUCUCAAACCUGGUGCUGAUGUCAAGAUUACCGGACCAGUCGGAAAAGAAAUGCUUAUGCCAAAAGAUCCUAACGCAACUGUUAUAAUGGUAAAUCUCAUUCCCAUAAGUUUAGUUUUGCUUAUGGGUUUCACUCGACGACUUUAUUUAGCAUCUUAUCGAGAUAUGUUGGUUCAUGGCAGCUUGCGACAGGAACUGGGAUUGCUCCUUUCCGCGCAUUCUUGUGGAAAAUGUUCUUUGAGAAGCACGAGGAUUACAAGGUAAUGUUUUUCGCAUGUGCUUUGGUUUGCGGUGGAAUUCCUUUCAAAUGCAGAGCAAUAUCAAACGGAAUUUAUGUGUGAAACCAUGUGGCUAUUUGGUUUGCUACACAAUAACACAAAUUGACCUGGAAGAGAUAUUUAGUUUACGCCUCAAACUCCCACGCUUGAAUGUAUUGCCAUUUCUGAUCUUGUUUUUAGCGUGAUUAGUUUGCGAUGAAAUUAUGCAGUUCAAUGGACUAGCAUGGCUCUUCUUGGGAGUUCCUACAAGCAGCUCCUUGCUUUAUAAGGAGGUGAGCUAUCUCAUUUCCUCUGAGAGUCUCUAACUUUAUUUUAGUCAUCGCGCGAAAGGACAAAAAAAGAAGAAGUUUUCUCAACCUUUUUGUGAUGGGUUUUGUUUUGAAUCUCAGGAAUUUGAGAAGAUGGAGGAGAAGGCGCCGGACAAUUUCCGGCUCGACUUUGCAGUGAGCAGAGAGCAAACUAAUGCCAAAGGCGAGAAGAUGUACAUCCAGACUCGCAUGGCAGAGUAUGCCGAGGAAUUGUGGGAGCUACUCAAGAAGGACAAUACCUUUGUAUACAUGUGUGGACUAAAGGGGAUGGAGAAGGGUAUCGAUGACAUUAUGGUGUCUUUGGCCGCCAAAGACGGUAAUAAAAUUGUCGGGUUUAAUGAUAAAUUGUCGGAUUGUAUUAAACGCAAAGCGUAGUUUCCUACUUCAGAAACUCGACAACUUGACAUGCAGUAUUUAUGUUCCAAUGAACAGGUAUCGACUGGGCGACGUACAAGAAGGAACUAAAGAAAGGAGAACAGUGGAACGUGGAAGUGUAUUGAUCAUCCUUGCAUUUUUCAUGCAACCUGCGUCUCUCGUGGAAGGAGAUGUACAUGCUAGAAAAUUCGGUCCCCUCUAUGUAGAUAAGCAGUCUUUUCCUUUGAGCUUAUAUUACUUUCUUGUAAGAGGCUCAGUUACUGUAUCCUUCUUGGUUUUAUUCAAAAGGAAGCAUAAGAUGUAACAUCUUGUAAGCAAUCUCUACUCCAUUGAUAAACUUCCUCCUCCGGUUUUCUUAUGCCAACGUUUUUAUUUUUUUCAAGAAAAUAUCACGUCUGGUACGACCUGUUUGGCCUAACUUCUGGAAUAACUUCUGGAAAAGUGAUUUCCGUAUAAGUGAUUUUGAUUUGGAGAAUUGAUUUUAGUGAAAAGUGAUAGAGCGUUUGACUGAGUCUAGAUAAAAGUAAUUUUUUUAAAAUAAUUUUCUAAAACUGUUUGGUAAAAAAUUUUUGAUACUUACAUACAUUAAUAUUUUUGUUAAAUUUUAUGUUAAAAUAAUUUAAAAUUUGAAUGUAAAUUAAAAAAUUAAAUUUGAAUUAAAAGUAUACUUUUUAAAUUGCACAUUUGUACAAAAAAUAAAUUUUAAAUUUUAAAUUUGAAUUUUUUAAAUCUAAAUUUAAAUUUUUAAUUUUCCAAUCUGAAUUUAAAUUUUGAAUUUUAAAUUUUAAAUUUAAGAUUUGAAAUUGAAAAUUCAAAAAUUUAAAAUUUAAAAUUUAAUUUGAAAAUCUAAAUUUUUAAAAUUUAAACUUAAAUUUUCAAUUUUCAAUUAAAAUUUAAAAUUAAAAUUUAAAAAUUUAAAAUUUAAAUAAAAUUUAAAAUUUAAAAAUUAAAAUUAAAAUUUUAAAUUUAAAUUUUAAAUUUAAAUUUUAAAUUUAAAUGUUUAAAUCAAAUUUAAAUUUAAAUUUAAAUUUCAAAAAUUUAAAACUUCAAAUUCAGAUUUAAAAUUUAAAAUUUGAAAUUUGAAAUUUAAAACUAAAAUAAAAUUUUAAAUUUCAAAAUUUAAAAUUUAAAAUUUUAAAAUUUGAAAUUUAAAAUUAAAAUUUAAAAUUUGAAUUUUCUAAUUUGAAAAUUAAAAAUUGUAAUUUUAAGUUUUAAAUUUUAAAAUUUUAAAAUUUAAGUUUUAAAAUAUGAAAUGUCAAAAAAUAAAUUUUAUCUUAAAUUUAAAAUUUAAAAUUUUGAAUUUUAAAAUUUAAAAUGUGAGAUUAGAAACUUAAAUUUAAAAUUUAAAAAUCUAAAUUUAAAAUUUAAAAUUUGAAAAGUUGAGAUUUAAAAAUUCAGAUAUGAAUUUAAAAUUUCAAUAUUUAAAUUAAAUGUUAAUUUUUUUUACUUUGAAUCUAAAAUAAAAAUAAAAAUUUGAAGUUCGAAUCCAAAAUCAUAAUCAGUUUUGGAUAAGUAGUUUUUUUCUGUUUCUCAUUUAGGAGCCUUCAAAAUUAGUUUUCUGAUUCUAAAAAAUAAAAUCAGAUUUUUCAUCUGUUGUUUCCAAACGCUCUACUGAGCUCAAAAGUGAUUUUGGGCUCAGAAUUACUUCUGAGAAGUUAGACCAAACACCCCCUAAAUCUAUUUACUGGUUUGAUUGCUGUAAAAUGGAGUCACUAAAAUGAUUUUUUUUAACAAUCAGCACUCUUUUAGCUAAGUGCAUGUUGACUACUUACUAUAUGUCAGUAUUGUUGACAAGCAUUUUUACCUCCUUUUCUUCGGAACCAGUAUCUAUGUUUCUCAACAUUAUUGGCUUUCUUUGUUUUUUUUUAAAAAUUAUUAGGAGUAUCCUCUAGUCUAUGGAAAUAUUAUUAUUAUACUAAUAAUAAGAGACUUUUGAGAGUUAUCUUUUGGCUGUCCAACUUGAUCACCUCUUUCAGAUGGGAGGAAAGACUAAUUGGAUGACCGCAAUAGAAAGAUGGAAGUUAUAAAAAGAAACAAAAAAGCACUGCAGGAGAAAGCACUAUGACUCUUCCAUGUAAGAGGCAUGGAGAAGAUAGUUAUCAGCGCACACUAGGUUAUUCUUGAACACCAAAAACAACAAUGUGUACAUAUCAUGCUAGUAUUCAAGUGGCGAUAAAAAGAUGAAGCAUGAUGCUACUUAGCUACAACAAUGGCAGAGAAGUGCCAACCCUUGGUGAAAUUAAAAUUCAGAAUGCAAUUAAACUACAACAACAACAAAAGCUACCAGAUUAGAUUGCUACGUAAUACCAUCCAACACCGAAAAAGUUGAGGGCAUGACUGCAUCUGUAAACCCGCGGAUCGAGAGUUCCGGUAUAGAUGGAUUACUCUCUUGCAAUAGCUCGUGAUCGAUGAAGAUAACAAUCACCGUAAUGUCAUCAUGGAAGAAACGGCGGAUCCCCUUGUCCAGUUUCUUGAGAUCUGCAUAGCUCAUUUCCCUCUUCCGUGCAGCUUCUUCGAGAGCUCUUUUAACCAGUCUCCUAGCAAUUCCCUGUAAUAUGUAGCAUAAAAUAAGUUAGCUAGAAGUCGAUGGGAAAGGAGGUUAAUUACUGAAAUUAUCAAUAUAAGAGAGGGCGAGUUCUUACUGCUCUUGGGUAAUUAUGGACGAUCUCGACUGCUUGUUGGUUCGUCAGGUGCUCCCACAGUCCAUCAGAUGCAAAUAUUAAGAACUUAUCUUGUGGACAAAGCACUCGCGUGUAUAGGGACGGCUCUGCUGUCAGUACGGGGCGACGAAGAGGUUCCGACAGCCGGAAUCGCUGCACAGAUGGAUCCACGGAGAACUCCGGCUUCUUCAAGUAUGCAUCACCAAUAGAUCUUGAAACCUACGAAUGGAUCACAGAAAAGCUGCUAUAAGAAAGUCACCUUACAUCAAAUAUAUAACAUCAUAUUCCGACUUAAUAAUGAAUCUAUAGAAACAACUUAAACAGAUCUACGCAAACAAAAAGAGCAAAGGUGGAUGACUAUCUCACCUGAAUAAUGCCUUUGAUACGCCAUACCCCAUGCUUAAGUACCACAAUAUGUGAAUCAUCCGGAUGAAGAGAUCGAAGUUCUUGUCUCACUUCCUCCACACUAGCAUUAUGAUCUCUUGUCAGUUGCUCAGCGACAAUUUUGUUUGACCUACCCAAACAACCAAUGACAGCUCGAGAAUCUCCCACAUUAGCUACAUAGAGAGUUCCUCUCCAUAUAACACCAACCAGACAACAAGAUCCAACAGCAGCAAUCAAAGGCUUAAAUUCACGCAUUCUCCGAACAAGUGCCAGGAAGCCAUUCUCAGUUGCAGAAAAUGCAUUUCUAACAACAUCCUCAGAUAUCGUUCCACUUUCCCGAGCAAGCCCUAAAAAUUGGGAGAAGAGUGUCGGAUAGCGAAGGUGAAAGAAACACAGAACAUGUAAUAAUACCAAAAGAGACGAAGAGAGACAUGAGUUUAUAGUGUAGGUCGUGCAAAUUAAAAUCUGACACAUCUUGCUUGAUGCUGCAACAAAACAGAACAAGCUCAGAUUAAGCAAGCCAGUUUUGUCCUAUUAGUGAGACUAGGUCCUUUGGUUGAUUAUUCAUUUCUCCUCCGUUACCGGAACACAUACUAAUUCACCAUUUGUACCCCAUUUUCCAUCAAUGCAAGAGACAGACCCGGCGCCUCAAAAGCUACCUGAUAAGUAGGCACCAAGGUUUUUAGUGGCUCAACGGUUUAAGGUCAACGAGCAAGCGAGAGAUCCAGAGAUUUUCCUCGGAAUUGUAAACAAAAUGACUAAACCAAACGGAAAGUGAUUUAAGAAUAACAAGAACAUAAAAUCCGGAAAGUGAAUAUUAUCCAGCAGUAACAUAGGAAACCACACUUGAAACUUCUGUAAAGAUAGCUCAAAAUGAUCUACUGUUGCAACAUUAUUGACUACGUCUAUGGUAAAGCAACUGACUCCCACACUGGGGAAAACUAUCUAAUUAUUAAACAAAUUUCAAAUGAUAUGUCAAUUAUAGACGAAUUUAGAUGUACGUUAUAGCAAAAGAAAGGGGAAUCUGACAAACAAUUAAAAUGACCAGGAAAUAGGAAAGGCCAAACACCAAUCUAUUCUGUCUAAACCAAACACUCAAGCAGAAUAACUAGUCGACAAUCAUUCUUGAAUACUGUUUAAUUAUCAAACCCAUCAAAACGUUAAGAUAACGGAUUUUAUUCUUCAUGGACUACUUUAUGCUUCAGGUUAGUUGCAAAUUAUACAACAAUAAACAAACUCAAAACACAUGCUUCACAAGCAAAAAUUAUGUUUCAAGUACGUUGCAAACUACAGGGUUCAUUAUUCUAGUUGAUAAAGAAUAGUGUGUUUUCUCUCACCUGCAACUGCGGUUUUCUCAACCAUAAGUGCAAGUCUUCCCCAUCAAAUGCUUUGCAAGUAAUUACUUCCUCAAAAUAACAAGUCAGAUAAGUAUAACACUGAAGUGCAGGAUCUGACUAGGUUUACGUUUCCACAAUCUUGAUAUGAUAUGACCGAUACACGAGAUAUACAUACAUGUUGUUUUACUUUGAAAUCAAUCCUUCACAAGAGCUUUAAAUAAUUGUUUUCCAUCUCUCAUAUACAUCUUUCAUAUACUCUAUUAACACAAGUUAAUUCUAGAACAAACUUUUUCCAUUAACCCUGAUCAACUUAAUGACGAUGCAAUUAUUGGCUUAACUAAGAAAUCCAACGCUUUCCACACUAGCAAUUACAAAGAGUGCACACCUAUAAAGAAGCACUCCUCAAGGCGUUUAAGUUCCAUUCAAUCCUUCUGUCGCCUACAACAAUUCUUGAAAGGUUUCUUAGGCAUUUUAGAAAAAAUCCUCCACACUGCAUAAUGCUUGUUCUCACUUAUUUUUGGCAAAAGAGGAAAAAAAAAUCUGAGACUAGUUUAGAAUGUUUAGGAUGUUGGGAAACAGGAAGUCUAUCAUAUGGAACCAAAAGAGUAUUCCAGUUCAGAAGACAACAUAUUCUUGCAUGAAAACAAAAUGGUGUGAUAGAGGAAAUGGGAAUCUAGGGCAAACUCCCAAUUAUACCAAUUCAUGGCUGAUUUAUAAGCAUUUAGUCAAAUAGGCUAAUACAGACCUUGCAAUCAGUCCUAUGUUCAUCACCCUUUCAUCACCCCCAGUAUUUCCUUACUAGCCAUUCUCAUUAAUAACAACUCACCCGUAAAUUUCUGAAAAUAAAUUGCUACAAACAGAGACAGCGAUUUCUCCGUUUUAGUGGCUAUUUAAUAAAUUUUGAUAUCAAAAACCUAUAAAUCCCACACAUCUACCAAAAAUAUGUUUCCAAACACUUCACUUUCGGCCUUCUCUUGAUUUAUACAAAUAAAAGCACGUUUCAAAAGGCUAAUCAUCGUUAUGUACAAGAAAAAAAACAAGACAACAAAUUUAAGCAACCCCCCUCACUUCACAUACAACGUCGCUUAAGCUAUCAAAACAUCUCAAAAAAGGAACUGCGACAGAAUAUUUGAAACCCAUAAAAGCGAAAACCAAACCAAGAGAGAACAAAUGGACCUGUGCAGGAUGAAUUUAAAUAAAUACUGAAUAGCAAAGAUAAAAAAAUAUAUGUAUAUCACUUCGAUGCCGAGAAGAGAGGAACUUACGAACGAGGUGGAGGAAGAGGUGGUCGGAGAUGAAUCGCGAGGCGUCGGCGCCGCCGUGGCCGUCGUAGACCCCGACGAAGGUGGCGGCGACGCCGGUCUCGACCUGGCUGUGGUCCUCGAUCACCUCGUUGGCCUGCACGACGGCGAACGAGUACUCCCCCGCCGCGUGGCGCCCGAUGUCCCGCGACCACAGCAGCACGUCGUCUCCGCCGUCGUCGCCGCCCCCCUCAUCCUUGCUCAUACGCGCGUACCUCCGUACCGGGCCCAUGCACGCCGCCGCAAUCCUCGACAACCACGAAAACAUCCCUCAUUUCCCUCCACGCAAGAUCCCGUAGGGUUUCCGCACCGAGAUCGCCGCCGCGUCGCCGCCCACCCGAGACGACCCCGAUCCCCCGACGCGAACAGAGUUUUCGGACAGAAUUAGGGUUUCGAAUGUAGAAGCCACCGGAAAUUUAGGGUUAGGGUUUCGAUCGAGAGCGAGGAAGAGGUCGAUGUGGCGAGGGAGGCGCGCGAGUGGAGAAGGGGGAGAGAGAGAGAGAGAGAGAGAGAGAGGGAACCGAAGAAAGAGGACUCCGACAAAGGCUCAUUAAGCUACGGACAAGUCCCCGGACAUUUAUAACGGAUUUUGCGAAGUAAGUGCCACUGUGGUUGGACAAAUUUACGAAGAUGCCACCGACGGAAAACAGCGGAAAAAGUGUUGAGGGAAAAAGCGCGCACCGAGACGGGGGGGAGGUCGAGUUCCGGACCGUGAUAGGCGCGUUGACUUCCACUGUUCGAGAACGUUUAUUUAAAACCUUUUUCUUGGCAUUUUUUUAUUUUUAAUAUUAAUUAUUAAGCUUUACUAAUCGUUCCUAGAGUAAGUGAUAAAGAACUUAGUGAUUGAUAUUCGAGACCCAAAUUCGUAUUUUUAUUCAUUUAUAUUUUCAGCUAAAUUUAUUUCUAAAUAAAAUAAAUGAAACGAAUACUGUGCUAUCUAUUUUUCAAAAAAAAAAAAUAAUUAUUAAGUUUUGUAUCAUUGUAUGUGUUAUUUUCUCAAAUCUUUGUUUCCUACUUAUGAAAAUAAACUUCCUCGAAUAAUUUCAACGCGCAUGAAUGGUUUUUUUUUUUUUUUUUUACUGUUCCUGUUUAGAUUUUUCUCUUAUUGUUAUUUCUUAAGAGUUGUAUUAUAUUUCUCAAAUUAAAAAGAACCUCUUAAGCCACCUCGAGCAAAAGUGCAUGCUCUUAGUAAUCCUCCAAUAAAAAAUUAAAAGCCAAUUGUAGCAUAGAACAAAUGAUAAUCAAUUAAUAAUACUCUUCAGGAGCCCGAGUUGCCCCACUCUUGUAGCCUAGUUCAUCUUAUUAUUGAAUGAAGCAAGUAGCGUGCUACAUUUAUCUCAAAAAAAAUUAAUAAUACUCUUCAGUCAUGCCAUUUCAUUUUUUAUCCAAAAAACUGAAGCCAUUACAUAUUAUUUCAGGUUACGCACGACUUAGCUAAAAAGAAAAAGAAAAUAUAAGAGGACCUGCAAAAUAGUUCUUUCGUUCAGUACCUUCGUGUAUUUGCAUUAAAUAGAAAGAUAUUAAACAUAUAUGUUAGGAGAAUGGUGAUUUGAACCUAGUAAUUCAAAUUUUAGAUCUUCUGAAAUUUUUUUUUUUUUGAUUAAACAGGAAUUUACCCUAUUUGAAAAGGUACAAAGACCAGGAGAGAAGGGAAGGAAAAGAGGUGGAAGGAGUAUCCGAUUACAAAUAAAAAGCCCCAGACACGAAUCAAUCAGCACACAUGGAUAAUUUAUAAAUUAAUAUAAAUUAAUAUAAAACAAUAAUUUUAGAUCUUCUUAUUUGAUACUAUAUAAAUUAAUAUAAACAAUAAUUUUUUCGAAUAACUUAACGUACCAAAUAAUGGUAUAUUUAUAUUUAUAUAUUUCAACAUAUGGCCCUCCUGAAAUAUAAAAAUAAAAUUUUCAAUUGAGGAAAGGAUUUGCUAAAAACAUUUCUUUUUCUAUGUAUUCCCAUGACUCCAAAAUUGCUAAUUGAUCAGAUAUUUAUUUACCUAAUAGUAUCUCAGCAAUAACACACCUAGAGUGAGUUAUAUAGCAUUUUGCUACAAAUAUAAUAGGUAAAAAUAAACAUAGGGUUAAAUCUAACGGUGGAAAAUUCGAUAGCACCAAAUUCUUGGUGCUAUCGAUAGUACCCCAACCGGAUUCUAAAAAACUAGGCUGAAAUACUAUCAAUAGCACCAAGCUAUUGGUGCUAUUGAUUUUUUAGCUCUUGAAUUGAGAAAUAGAUGGUUAGGAUGAUGUGGGCCCUCUAGGGUUAAGUGAGUGGUUGGUUGAAUAGUAUAAUCUAACGGGUAAAAAUAAUCAUAGAGUUAAAUCUAACGGUAGAAAACUCGAUAGCACCAAAUUCUUGGUGCUAUCGAUAGUACCCCAGCCGGACUCCUAGCUAAAUCUAUAAAGAUAAACAAUAUAUUCAAAUUUUGAAGUCAAUAUAUUGUUUACUGAUGGAAAUUAAACAAAUUAAAAUAUUGGACAGUAAAAUUAAAAUUUUAAAAUAUUAGGCAAUCGGCUGAAAAUGAUCCACUUCUCAAAUUAAUUCUAUACCUUUUUAAAUUAAUUAUAUAUUUAAAUAUAGAGUCCGGCUUGGGUACUAUCGAUAGCACCAAGAAUUUGGUGCUAUCGAGUUUUCCACCGUUAGAUUUAACCCUAUAAUUAUUUUUAUCCGUUAGAUUAUACUAUUCAACCAACUACUUACUCAACCCUGGGGGGCCCACAUCAUCCUAACCAUCCAUUUCGCAAUCCAAGGGCUAAAAAAUCAAUAGCACCAAUAGCUUGGUGCUAUUGAUAGUAUUACAGCCUAGUUCUUUAGCUAGGAGUCCGGCUGGGGUACUAUCGAUAGCACCAAGAAUUUUAAAAUGCUGGAUAGCUAAUUCAAAAUGAUUCAUAAUACACGUAAGUUUUGUAUAUUUUUAUCUAUAUAUAUAUUAUCAUAAAGAGUUUACGGGACCGGUAGACACGCAUUAAAAAUAUUCAUCAAAUUACCGNUUUUGAAUUAUUCACUCAACUUCAAAGUUUAAUUUUUUUAAAAAAAAUAGAUUUAAAAUUUAGACAUUAUUUCAAAAUUUUGAUGUAAAAUUUCAAUAUUUAAUUUGAAUUUAAAUUAAUAUAUUAUAAGAUAAUGUUAAUAUAUUAAUUUGAUUACGUUUUUUAUAUCUACCUGAACCAAACACCGACAAUGGGAAUGAUUUAUUCCGAUUCCGAUUCUGGGGAUGAACCAAACGGAAUUAAGUAAUGGAUCAUUCCGAUUCCGAUUCCACCUUAUUUUGAUUCCGAUUCCGAUUCCGACUCCGACUUUGAACCAAACACGCCCAUAGAGUGAGUUAUAUAGCAUUUUGCUACAAAUAUAACGGGUAAAAAUAAAUAUAGGGUUAAAUCUAACGGUGGAAAACUCGAUAGCACCAAAUUCUUGGUGCUAUCGAUAGUACCCCAACCGAACUCUAAAAAACUAGGCUGAAAAACUAUCAAUAGCACCAAGCUAUUGGUGCUAUUGAUUUUUUAGCUCUUGAAUUGAGAAAUAGAUGGUUAGGAUGAUGUGGGCCCCCUAGGGUUGAGUGAGUGGUUGGUUGAAUAGUAUAAUCUAACGGGUAAAAAUAAUCAUAGAGUUAAAUCUAACGGUAGAAAACUCGAUAGCACCAAAUUUUUGGUGCUAUCGAUAGUACCCCAGCCGGACUCCUAGCUAGAUAAACAAUAUAUUCAAAUUUUGAAGUCAAUAUAUUGUUUACUGAUGGAAAUUAAACAAAUUAAAAUAUUGGACAAUAAAAUUAAAAUUUUAAAAUAUUAGGCAAUCGGCUGAAAAUGAUCCACUUCUCAAAUUAAUUCUAUACCUUUUUAAAUUAAUUAUAUAUUUAUAUAUAGAGUCCGGCUGGGGUACUAUCGAUAGGACCAAGAAUUUGGUGCUGUCGAGUUUUCCACCGUUAGAUUUAACUCUAUAAUUAUUUUUACCCGUCAGAUUAUACUAUUCAACCAACUACUUACUCAGCCCUGGGGGGCCCACAUCAUCCUAACCAUCCAUUUCGCAAUCCAAGAGCUAAAAAAUCAAUAGCACCAGCACCAAUAAGUUGGUGCUAUUGAUAGUAUUACAGUCUAGUUCUUUAGCUAGGAGUCCGGCUGGGGUACUAUCGAUAGCACCAAGAAUUUUAAAAUGCUGGAUAGCUAAUUCAAAAUGAUUCAUAAAACACAUAAGUUUUGUACAUUUUUAUCUAUAUAUAUUAUCAUAAAGAGUUUACGGGACCGGUAGACACGCAUUAAAAAUAUUCAUCAAAUUACCGACUAUUCCUAGUAUGAGUAGCAAAAGGCUUGGUAGUUGGUACCUGAGGUCCCAAGUUCGAAUUCUAAUUGAUUCAUAUUUCCAACUAAAUUUAUUUCUAAAUGAAAUAAAUGAAGUGAAUAGUAUAUACUACCUGCCUCUCUCAAAAAAAAAAAAAAAAAAAAAUCACCAAAUUAAAUAAAUUAUUAAAAGAUCGGCAGAAGUCAGAUAGGAGGGUUGUUACUGGAAAGAUCAGUCGAGCGUUCGGGGCACUCGAAACCUGUGAGAAAGAGAGAAAGAAAGAAAGAAAGAAAGAAAGAAAGAAAAGCUUUGACCAGCUACAUGGGCGGAGGGGGCCACGAGGAUACGAGCGUGGUGUUUUUAAUGCACACCUACCGUGCAACCAACGAUAUCAUCAUCGAUAUGCCUUGCCUUACAUAUAUGAGAGCUCUGAUGCUCUGUACACUGUGGAUCCAAAAUAUGAUAUGAUGAUCACUACGCGUGCAAUCAUCAUCGUUAUCUUCUAUUCACCCAAAAAACAAGAAAAAGAAAAAAAGAGAAUUGAUAUUGUCAAAAUAAUUUUUUGCUAUUACCGGAACCAAAUACCCUGAACUCCUAAAAGUACCGUAGGUAGAGACGAUAGAUUUCGUUUGGUAUUUGCCAAGCUCAGCUUUGACAAUAUCAAUUUUCUUAAAAGAGACGACUAGAUUUUUAGCAAGUGUUGCAAAAUAUUUAAGUUGAAAUCCUUCGAUUUUUCUAUUAUAAAGUAACAUAUAAAUCCAUACCUUUUCUACAAGGAAAAAAUAAAAAAGGUAAGUUCAAGAUUUUCUUAAUUUUCAAACAAACAUAAAGAUGUAAAGUUUACAAACAGGCCGUCGUGCAUCAGCGCAUUUAAAGCCAUAUAUAACUUGAGAGGAGAUGAACCAUACGUUUAGCCAAAAGAAGCAUCAAGUACCAUGUUUUUUUUUAUUAGUGGUUAGGAUUAACUAUGACAUAGCCAACUAGCUAGAUGGACAAUUAAUCAGCUCAAAGGAUCAAUGGUUUUCCAACAAGUGCAAUAGCAUCCACCUUGUAUUGUUAAAGGCACCCAAUUUUGAUUGUCAUAGAUAAUAAGCUCAUAUUACUUAAUCCUCCUAGCUGUGGGUGAGUGAUUUAGGUUGCAACACAACAAUUUCUCAACAUAAAAUAGAGGCUAUUACGGAGUUUUUGCGGCUCUCAUCUUAUCCUAACUCCUUAUCUCCACUGGCCUUUCUAAUAAGAUUUGGUGAGUAAGAGUGCGAUGAGAGAAACAGAGGAUCUCGUGAGUGAAGAGGUUGACGUGUAUCCACUAAAGAACAGUGUCCUUGUAAUUGUCACGUUUAACUCUUCUUUGUAGAAGUGCUGCUCCUGAAACUUUUCAAGUUGAUGAUGAAAUGAGGAUGCUCUUUUCCUUUGAUAACUAAAGCGAAAAGAUAAGCGCCUUGCGACCAAGAACAAGAGGUUUGUUUGGCACCACUAGUAAAUCCAUCAAUUAGCGCACUUUUUGCACUUUUUUGUACCCUUUUUUUGCACUUAUUGUCGCACUUUUUCUACCUCUUCUCUCUCUUCUCUAUAUCCAGAAGAACCAGAACUAUCCAUUUUCAACCGCACAAAAUGUAAAUUGUUCGUAUCGAAGACCAAUAAUCCUCACAACUAACUUUAUAGCAUAGUGGAUAGGAAAUGAUAAAAUCGGAUUGCGGUAAAUUAAAAGUUGCAAAAAGUUGUAGCAAAAUAGUGUUGGUGUGAGUACAUUAAAAUUUAAUACUUUCCUAUUACUCCCACAAUCGCAACAAAGAAGAAGAUGAAGAAGAAAAUGACGGGCUACCACCUACUAGUAUUGCAUAUGAAUUUUCUUCGCAUUAGGUUCGCUGAAUCUGUUUUGGUGACAGUGAUUUGAAAGUUCUGUUAACUUUAGUGCUCCCAAACUAGGCCUUACUGAGAUCAAAGAUUAAAUUUGAAAGAGCUACUGCUCAUUAUAGUCUGAAAGUUUCCUAGGAUUGUUUUUUUUUUUUUUUUCUUGAAACAAAUGUAGUAUGUUGUCUGUUUUGUUUAUUUUUAAAAAAAUAAAUUUAAUUGAAAAUAUAAAUUAAUUAAAAUUCGAACUUGUGAUCUCGAAUACUAACUAUCAAGUCGUUUACCGCUUACGCUAGCUAUAAACGGUCAGUAGUUUUCUAGGAUUGUUGAUCAUGCCUAUUAUGCUGGUCCCUGGGGGCUAUAUUUGAAACGGAUGAAAAAUAUCAAGAAAAAGUUUUCUUGAAGUACUUCCUUUCGCCAGAAGUCUUCAAUUGAAAGAAUCCAACUUUCACUCAUCUGACGAAGUAGCAACGCAUGAAACUCAGACAGAUCAAGCAUUUAAUUUUUUAUUAGGGUAACUACAUAUGACUCUAUGUAAAGACAUCAAAUAACAAAUAUAUUUCUACAAAACUUANGCCACAGGGCAGGAUGCUGGCCCAUUUAAGCCAACAAUCCUCCCUCCAGCACCUGCACACAUUUGCAGCAUGCAGGAAUCGAACCCGUGACCUCUAGCUCUGAUACCACUUGUCGGAUCGUUGGCGCUAACCAUUAAUUCCAAAAGCUCGAGCUGUUAGAAAUACGCAACCAAUUUACUUAAGGCGUACAGAAACAAUGCCCACGGGUCUCAAUUGUGACUCGGCCCACCUGGCCUCACGCCACUUCGAACAUAACUCGGCCCAACCCAGCCUCACGCCAUUUCGAACAUGACUCGGCCCACAUGGCCUCCCGCCACAGGGCAGGAUGCUGGCCCAUUUAAGCCAACAGUAGCAACGCAUGAAACUCAGACAGAUCAAGCAUUUAAUUUUUUAUUAGGGUAACUACAUAUGACUCUAUGUAAAGACAUCAAAUAACAAAUAUAUUUCUACAAAAUUAAGUUAUCAAAUUUAUUUCUCCAAAAAUUCUUCCAUCUACAAGUAAUUUUGAUAAUCAUGAGUUUAAAAAGCUAACCACAGUUAGCUAAGAGGUAAAAUAAUUUUUUAUCUCCUAUAUGUAUAAUUUGUAUUUUAAUGUAGAGUCUCAUCAUCUUUCUCGUCCCUUUAUUUUUAUUCAUAGUGACAACGAGACCUACGGCAGCGGCGACGUCAAAGGUGAGACCCUCGAUCGCGAUAAAAAUAAGAUACGCUACAUGUGCCGCAAGGAAGGCGAAGAGAGAGAAAAAGAAAAAUAGCUUUUACGGACCCAUCGCUAAAAAAAUUAAUGAUGAAUCAAACGGGAAGAUCAUAUACGAACUAACGGAAACUUUUGAAAUGAUAUAUUUAUAAAUCAGAGAAUUUUUUUAAAAAUAAAUCUGAUAACUUAAGUUUUGUAGGCCGUAUUUGCUAUUUCAUAUCUUGUAGCAACCUGUAUAAAAUUAAUCUCUCUUUUUAGAGACUGCUCAUAGUUUGCUCAGCGCUACACCCACACAAAAGUUAUUUCUUGGCUUUCUUGCACGGCAGAAACGAGCGACUUUGCCCGGUGGCUGUCUGAUGUUGAGUUCAUUGAGCUCGCCGACUGCGGGCCUGCGGCCUAAAGCGGCCUGAAACUUCUUUCCAGGCCGUAAUUCUUAGGUCCGUUUGGUCCGGUCCAACCCGGCUCCCCCACGACCUUCUUCUCAAUCCUCACGUGAGUGCCACGUGUACGAUGCCACGACAAGCGACCGUUGGCGCCAAAAGGGAGUGGGUCGCCGCCUCCGCGCUACUUGAAUAAAAUCGCUCAUUUUAAAAUUUUUUUUUUAAAAAAAAACUUGCUUGGCCGGCCGAAGAGCCGGACGAUUUUGUUCCCCUUCUCCCAUUUGUCACCCUCGCUGACUCCUCUCUCUCUCUCUCUCUCUCUCUGUCGUCCUCAUCAAUUGUGCUAAUGUCCUCGUCUACUAAGUCACUCCCGUCCCUCCACCUCUUCCACUCUCCUCCCCACAAUCCCCUCAAAACCCUAGAAACCCACCCUAGGGUCCUUGCAAUGGCUUCCUAGCUAAGAUUCUUGAAUAUUCUUGAUUUUGUUGAGCUCGUCGGGGCAUGGCGUCGCUGGAGGAGCUUCUUGCGAAGGAAGGGUUCAAGAAGGGGAAGGCGAAGCAGGGGCUGAGGGGAUCGGCCGCGCCGAGGGCGGUGAGUAUGCCUCUUUACCCCGAUCGCGGUCAGAAUCUUUUGGAUCGUAAUACGGAGUCUAGGUUUCAGAAGAAUAGGGCAAGAUCUGGUGCCUUUGAUAGGGGGACGCGAUCCGGUUGGUCGGAGAAUGGAGGAGGUAGAGGCGGGAGGCAGAAGUAUGGCCCGGUGCGAGGGGAGAGCUCCGUUGAUAGCUACGAUGAGGAAUUCCUCGAGAUUGAGGGUUUUGAAACUGGCGGAUCGAAUCAGUCUCGAGAAGUUAAAAGUUUUAAUGGAAGGUCACGUAAUUCUCGUUUAAAUAGUGUUGACGAGGCAGAGAAGUAUAAAGCCGACACAAUUGUUAAGCCCAAGGUUAGGAUGGGUAGAAACCCUAAGCAAGAAGGUCCUGGAAAUCUUAGAUGCAAGGAGGCCGACUUGCAUGAUACGAUUUGUGAUGAAAAGCUUCAGAAAAGAAAUAUUACAAACAUUCAGAUGCAACCAAGCUUUAAUUAUGACGUUCGGAGUAGAAAGGAUGAUGAACCGACCCUUGAUGAGGCUGCAAUCUGGGCUGUUGUCUCGAUAUUGACUAGUUAUAUAAAGCUAUACUUUAAAGAUGGAAACUUCCGUGCAUCAAUCCGUCACAGCUGUGCUGCUUGCCUAGGCCUUGGUGCAACUAAACAGAAACAACAAAAGGAUCAUAAUGGAGCAGUCGCUGACCUAAAGGAAGCGAUUCAAACUGUUGAAAGAGUAGUUAAAGAUAAUUUGGAUUCGGUUGAAGUUACAAAAGCUUUUAAGAAACUAACUGUUAUCUCGGGAUUGAGUUCAACAGAUAGAAAGGAUGGAUUUGCAUUUGGAAGUCUUGAUUCAUAUCUGGCUGCGUGCGCCCAUCUCUACCUUAGUGUAAUUUAUAAGCUUCAGAAGAAAGAUAAGCUUUCGGCUAAGCAUCUUCUUCAGGUCUUUUGUAGUUCACCGUACCAGGCGCGGACUAAUCUUCUCCCGGCCUUGUGGGACCGUCUUUUCCUUCCUAAUCUAUCUCAUUUAAAGUCAUGGUAUGAGGAAGAAGUCAAGUCUAUAGCACAAUCACCCAUGGGAGAGAAGAAGACAAAGCUUCUCGUCAAAAUGUACAAUGAUGUAUUGGACAAGGGUACUCAUGCUUUUGCUACUUAUUACAAAGAGUGGCUUAUAGAGGAGACUGAAGCUCCAGCACUUCCGUCUAUUCAUGUCCCUUUUACAUCUUAUCAUGGAAUUUCACAAGAGUCAAAUGUUCCCACUGAUUCUGAUGAAGGUUGUAGUCCUGGCAGUUCUGUUACCACUCAGCUGACGAUAAGCAAUAGCUUGUAUCUAUCUUCUUCGAGCCAAUCAAAGAAUUCGGAUGCAGCUGAUAGAAUAGAAAGUAAAGAUGAAGAGGAGGAGAUUGAUGAAGAGCAACUAACCAUUCAUUCCGACAAUCUCAAUCAAUACUAUGAGGAAACCAGGAUUUCCUCUCAAAAGUUCGGGAUUCAAAACCGUAUUAUAGGGCAGAUACAAGAACAUCACAACCCUUUCUUGAAGGACAGUUCUAUUGCCACUCAGCUGAUGAUCAGUGAUAGCUUGUAUCUAUCUUCUUCCAGCCAAUCAAAGAAUUUGGAUCCAGCUGAUGCAACAGAAAGUAGAGAUGAGGAAGAGGAGAUUGAUGAAGAGCAAUUAAUCACUCAUUCCAACAACCGCAAUCAAGACUAUGAGGAAACCAAGAUUUCCUCUCGCAAGUUCGGGAUUCAAAACCAUAUAGUAGGACAAACACAAGAAGAUCAUAAACCUUUCGUGAAGGAGCUAAAUUCAUCUAUUAAUGUAAGUGCUCUUAUUCUUCACUUGUUUGUUUUGCGCUUUCUCUCCAACUUGUACAUAUCUUCUUUUUUUUUGGGGGNAGAAAGUUGUCGAACAUAUUAAGUUCUAAGGAGAAGAAAGAACUCAUCAGUUGUGAGCAAGUAGGUCGCAUGGGCCUGUUCUAUAUUUUGAGAAAUGCUGUAUGUGCAACCUUCUAUGCUUAGUGCUGCUGUAUAGGUUCUGACAAUCAGUGUCACACUCAUAUGCUUGGGGAUUUGGUGGUUCACAUACUCCAAAGAAAUUUCGGAAGGUGUUUCGUAAUUCAAAUUGUCCCGGAAUUGAAUACGGAUAUAUGUAUUUGCAAAUUCUUGUGUGUGUGCACGCGCAUGCGUGUGUGUGUUCAUUCAGAUACACUUCAUUUUGUCCACCUAUGAUUAAGGUUCUCAUUCUUGAUCAGACAAAUCUGGUCUGCAGUAUUGUUUUCUUUCCAGUUUCUUUAUAGUUAAACAUCCUUUGAUUUUCAGUACCAAUCUCAUCUUUUCCUUUCUCAAACUCAAAUGUUCUUCAGGUGAAUAACUUCUGCAUGUGUAUAUGAUGUAUAUCACUUGAUUUCCCUUUUUAUCUUGAUUGUUUUUCUAUCUUACUAUGCAGGCUGAAGAAAGUGAGCUUUACCUUAAAAAAUUAGCACAGGCAGUUUUCAAACCACAGGUCACUGAUUUUUUUUGUUAUGAUAAUGAAUAUAGUAUGUACUAUGAUGAUAUUUCUUGUUUAGUGCAGUCGACAAAAAAACUAUUCUUGGAAUUUAAAAUUAGCCAUUGUACUUAAAUCAGUUUACUCUGAGUGGUAAACCCAUUGUGGUCUUUUUAUUUUUGCAGCUUAGUACUGUAUCUGAGCUGACAAAAACUAGGACAUUUGCUGAGAUUGCUGAUACAGAGGUAUUGGCAGUUAGUUUGAGGUAGUUCUUUUUGUUUGUGAAUGAACUUCACUAUACUUAUUUAAGCAUCCGUAACCAAGCUUAACAGUAACUGAAGUUUUGUUUCUCAGCGCAGAGUCAUUUACAAAUGACAAAGAUGCUGAUGAAGGGUCCUUUUUCUCUGCUACUCCACAAGAUUUUGUCUGCCCUUUAACAGGGCAGGUCUUUGAAGAUCCUGUGACAUUGGAGACAGGACAAACCUUUGAGCAAGCAGCUAUAAAAGAAUGGUUCAAUCGCGGCAAUACAACAUGCCCAGUUAGUGGGCAGGAACUUGAAUGUUUGUUGGUCCCAGAAACUAAUUUGGUAUUGAAGCACUUGAUUGCUAGUUGGAAAUCCGAACAUUUUAAAAAUCUGCUAGGUAUUGCUGUGCAAAUAGCUGGGUGUGUGAUAACACAAGAUCGUGAAUCAAAAAAUGAGUUAGUUUUGUCCAUAAUAGAGCAACUUCUUGGGGGUUUAAGCUUGGAGGAACAACUUGAAAAUGCAAGACACCUUAUGGCUUUGGGUGGCUUAGAUUUUCUUUUACGCAGGUUUGAAUUAGCAAACGUGGAUGAGAAAACACGCAUAGUUGGACUUCUGUUAUGCUGUAUCAAGGCAGAUGGUUGUUGCAGGAACUACCUGGCGGUGAAACUAAACAGUGUGUGUAUCCUUGAGCUUCUGCACAGUAAGCAGGUCAAUGCACGAACAAACAUAGUGUUGCUGCUGACUGAACUACUCUACCUGAAAAGGUUUGUUUAGCGUGCAUCGACCAACGUCUUUUUGUUGUUUAACUAUGUGUUUUUUUGUUAGUCUUGCAACAUUUUAUGUUUUCGUUACGAAAUUGGCAAAAGUUGUUUCCCUUGCUCCAUAGUGGUGUCUCUUUGAAGCAGCCAGGAAACUUUCUACCUGUGUAUUUUUCUUAGGGACAAAUGUGCACAAACCUGCAAACAUGCAACUGGAAGCCUUUUUUUUUCACUCUGAUCCAACUGUGUGUUCAGCUAUUUUCAGAAUUAAAGAAAUAAGGUUACCUAGUUUUCAACUUUCAGCUACUGAACCUAGUAACAGUAGUUCAGGAAAGAAAUCUUACAAUAAUUCAUAAUAUUCCAUGUUGAUGGCAUCGUUUUUUUAACGAUGCUUUUGCUGUUCAGUCAAAGUCAAAAAUCUUCUCCCAACUUUGUCCUCAAAUUUGAUGACAUUAAGGCAUCAAGCCUUGAAAGUUGUCAAAGCAACAUAGAAUGAGUUGUACAUUUACAUGUUAUUUCUUUUAUUUUCAACUUCUCAGAAGGGCAACGCUCACAUUGUUCUUAAGUGGUUUGCACACGGAGGCAAUUGUGAAUACAAUGCAUGUCCUGCUUGUGUAUCUUCAUAGUUCCCCACCAGAAGAAAGAGCUCAGGCUGCUGUUCUCCUUUUACACUUUGAUCUGAUGGUAUUGAUCAGAAUUCUCAUCCUGUUUUACAUUGUUCAACUCCGCUUUUCUUCUAAAACUGCAUAAAUAGUUACUGCCACUCUUCUAGGAAAGCUAUUGUUGAAUCUGUUACACAGAGUAACCGUAUUCUAAACCAGAAAUUUGUCAAAAUAGUAGAACUUUGUUUAAGGGAGCUAUAAUGAUAUAUUAGACACCAAAAAUUCCAGACAUCUUUGAUGACUGCAUUGAGCGGUGUAUGCCGUAAAUCUAAGCCAAGCAUUUGAGAGUCCAUGCUUAAGUCAAGGACUCCAAAUAGUUGCUUAAUUUUUUGUCAAACUGGAAGCUUUCACAAUUAAGAUGGUCGACCAGAAUUCUCCUGAAAAGGGUCGUUGUCUUGUGCAAUUCUUUUGCUAUGCUUCUGCGUUGUGCCUUUUUUUUGUUCAAUGGAUAAGAUGGUUCUGUAGUUUUUAUUAGUCUUAGCAGGAAAGCAUCAACUGGCUUCCUUUUCCCUGAAACCUGAAAGGGUAAAGCAUAAAUUUUUUCCUCUCUAAGAUAAGUUUCUUAUCCAAGUCAUCCAAUUUGGUUUAUUUGUUCCACAAAUAUCAUCAAGAUGUAAUUUUGGUUUUUUCGCCUUACAUAAAUCAUAUUUCUGCCGUUAUUCCAUGCUAGGGUUAAUUUUCUGUUGGGUAAGAUUUUAUGAUGACUACCAAUGAUGAUCUCUUUUUGUUCUUUUUUAGAGUUAAAUAUGUUAUUUCAAAACAAGAAAUACUUAAUGAAGUAUCUUGUUAGUUGCUAUGCAAUUGCUUUUUAAUAAUUUUGCCUGGAUUGCGUAGACUUUUGAGACAAUUGUUUAACAGGUAGAUUCCCGUAAGUAUAGCAUAUACAGAGAAGAGGCCAUUAAUAGCAUUACACUAUCACUUAAUGGCUGCUUAUCAGACAAGAAUGUGAUACCAAACUCUCGGAAAGCGCUUCUGAUGUUAGGGGGGCACUUCUCUUCUUCUGGAGAUAUAUUGACAGAGGCUUGGAUGCUGCAACAAGCAGGAUUCAUUGAUGGUCCUAGUGCCGAAUAUAUUGAUAAUGACGAGGAGAUUGAUGAAAGUGUGCUGGUAUGCCAGUUUCUGGUCAUUCCUUUUAUAUAUAUUUUACUUCCGUCAUCAAUGUUCUUGAUUUGUACGGAAUUGAUUUUUUUUUUUUUUUUUAAGCAAGGAAUUUCUUAAUUUGUAGCUACUAUCAUAGAAGUCUCACACUGGGCUACUAUCAAGGCAUACAUGUCCAUAUUGUAUAUAUCUAUAUAAGAUUCGCAUAUGCUAUGGUGUGCUUGCUUUUCAUGAUUUACCAUGUUUAGCGUGCUCAUCUGCUAAUGUGUUCCCACUCCUUUCAUACUUGUUUUCUCCUGUGCACCUAGCAUUCUGAUGUCUUUGGGCUUCUCUAUUCUACAGGCUUCUAACUUCGACCAUGACAAUAGCCAUAGUGCCUUCAUUGGAUUUGUUUCUCAUAUGUUAUGAUUAAACACAAGUUGUUGCAUUCACUAAAAUUGAAAAACGAGUAAUGAAUUUACCGUCUAUCAUGUUUGUUAUCUGAUGGUGUUUUCUGUAUUAUCAUAUGCUUCUUUUAGUUUUUGAAACUUCUGGGUUUGCUGAUUCCAGAACGAAGAAACAUCAGAAAAGGAGAAGUGGCUAAAUAAUGUCACCAUGGCACUUCUUGGUAAUGCAAGGCGAUCGUUCCUUGAGGCUCUCUCCAAAUGUUUAGAUUCUGGGAAUGUGGAGCUAGUAAGGGCAUGCCUGACCACAGUGGCAUGGCUUAGCCAUUCACUUGUAUCACUUUCUACCAGUGAAAUUCAGCUCUUUGCGUUCUCCAUUCUCAUUCCUCGAUUAAAAGAAUGUUUGGGGAACAGCAUGGAAGUAGAGAACAGAGUACUCGCUUGUAUUUCGCUACUCAAUUUCAGCAAUAUUCCAGGUAAGUUAGUUUAAGUUUAAUCCUAAGGGAGGGGUAGGAAAAAAAAAAAACCUCUGGAUGUCCUUUUAUCUCUAUAUAGACUGUUAAUAUGCAAAUAAGAUUUAUCCAUGAUAAAAGACAUAAUAAUUGACAUAAUUCCAGCCAUAUAGGAUAUCAUCGUGCCUACCUUUUGAUCUUUGAGUUCCUCUUUCAUCUUUCCGUCUCUUCAUUUGAUCCUUCCUGCUAAACCAAAUUGGUAAUUUGUAUUAGAUUGUAAAUGUAUUUUUCUAUCUUGCUUUUUUGGGUUAAAUUCGUCGUUGUCUCAGAAUAUAGUAUGUCAGUCCUGUUUGUCCCUGAUGUCGAUGGAAGUGUUCAACCAGAAGCACUUCCCCCAGAAUUGGUUCUGAGUGAAGCUCCAAUUUGGAGCUCACAUGGAAUGUGUCAAAACUGAAUUUCACGGGUAAAAGCAGCAGCAGCAGCAGCAGCAGCUAGGCAUCUUUGCUUGUCAAACAAAGGGAAAUGCUCAAACUGCCGCGCUCUAUAUCCAAAUGUUAUAUAAAUGAGAGAUCAGAAUUUGUUUAGUUUUUUUUUCUCUUUUUGACCAUCUUAUUUGCAGAGUGCAGGGUCUUGCUAAAGUCAUUGGCAAAGGAGAUGCGCCAUCAUUUGAAGGAGCUCAGAGAACUAACUUGGACGGCGAAGCGGCUUUAUACAACAAUAUUUGGAUGAAUAUAUUUGUAAGCCCCAAAGGUUGCAAAAACCACCUCCCAUUUCUCGCGAGCUUUGAUUCUGCAGGUGUAACAGCUAACUGGAGAAAGUACCGGAUCAGAAAAACUUAAAUAAAUAAAUAAAUAAGUACAACGGGUAAGAUAUAUGAAUAUUUCCUGUACAUUCUAAUGUUGUAGCUUGCCCUGUAGUUUUUAAACUUAAAACCCUUAGUUCUUGAAAACGUAUCCUAGUUAUUUAUAAAUUAGUUAUUUUAUUUUACAAAGUAAAGUAGUAAUUUGUGUAAACAAAUUUAAUUUUCACAAUCCACGAAAGUUCAAAAAAAAAACAAAAAAAAAAAAAAAAAAAAAAAAAAAACUGUUACUAGAAAUAGGAGUGAUGCUUUACUGUAAACUGUAUCAGCAUUGUCUAAUCCGAGUACAGUAACAAGCAUCCAGAGAUUGAACCAUUUGGAUAAUAUUAUAGAGGAACAACUUUUCAAAAUCCCAGAUACAGGCAUACAGCCAAUCACAAAAAAAGAAAAAAGAAAUACCCAAUCAAACAGUAGCUAUAAUACACUAGUAGAGGCUACAUUUAAGAGCGAGGCGCAUACAUAAUCAAACCAACAAGCCACACAACGAUGGACCCAACAAUCCAACAAAAGAGAAGGAAAACUACAAACGCGGCCAAAACGGUCAGGGGCGGGGGGCCGUUAUCUGCCGCCUCAUUGCUCUUAUUAGCUUUGCUUUUGCCUGAAGCUUCUGGGGCAGAAGAGCUUGAAUCUGAAGCAAAAACAACCUGUGCUCGGUGCCUCGAACUCGAACUUGCUGCACCUGCAAGCCUGGAAAUAAGAAUUUGCAUUACUAUUACUGUGCCUGAAGAUUCAUUGCAGACACCAGAAAAUGCUACAGAAUAGUAUGUAAUGAAUGUAAGGCUGCACCUUGAAUCUCAAAGGAUCACUUCAAUGUGAGUCCUGGCUUAUUAAUUGUUGGUAUUAUAUAAUCAGGAGAGUCAUCAGAAAAGGCAUGAGAGCAUAUUCUGUGGCAAAGAUUGGAAUGAUCUGUAAGGUCAGGGCAGAGAACUGCAAGAAAUUUAAGUUUUAUAUCCAACACAGAUGUAUCAGAAGCAAUGUCUUCAAGACUAGCCAGAGUUGCCAUUAGCACCGCUGUGUGUGGCUUUUCAAAUUACAUAUUUUUUUCUCACAAUUGAUUUUUUUUUUCCCUACUGUCGAUACAAGAUAGAAGGCUAAAGUUUAAGAAUAAGGAUUAAACCUGAACAAUCAAAAGCAUGUUUUUUUUUGUUGUUGUUCUAUAGAUCUAGCUGUCAGUUAAGAGGGAACAACGAGGAAACAACAAUGUUGCAGGGCAGUAAAAGCACAAUUUUUUAUCCGGCAUUGUGUCUUUUUAUUCAGUGUGUGAAAAGAAGAACACAGUUUGUCGACCGAAGGACCGUUUUCUGAAUAUUAGUUUCUGUAACAGCUAAUUUGAAUAGAAUGUUUGCGACGCUUUAACUCCUCUGCGCCCUAAACCCAGAUCCACUGUGAUCGACAAUACCGGCGCGAUCGACUCAUCGGCGAUAUUUCAAUCUAAAGUUAGAAAAACAGCAAUUCACACACAAACAAAAAGUGGAGAGAACCAAAUUAAAUAAAAAAAAACACAAACUGGAAAAAAAGAGAUCAUAACAGUACAAAUGCACCAUAAAGCCACUCCUCCGAGAAAUCCAAACAGGAUAUUAACAACGAGAUCGAUCGAUCGAUCGAAAUGCACCAGAAACAGAUUCAAAAAAAAAAGAAAANAAAAAAAAAAAAAAAAGAGAGAGUACCAGGAAUCGUGGAAGAUAGGGCGGAGGUUGGAGAGGGGCGGGAGCGACGGGGCCGCCGUGAGAGUUCGGGUUCGGAGAGGAGGGGAGCGGCGAAACCCUAGCGACAAGGAGGUGGCGCACGAAAGAGAAGAGGACAUGGCGUUUGUUCUCUCUCUCAGUGGAGGAGGUAGUGGCGCGGGAGGAGAUGGGUGAGGCGUGGUGUGAGAGGCGCUAGAAAAAUAAUAAUAUUAUUAUCUGGAUUUGUUAAAUGCUUUUUUCGUAAGCAAUAUCUUUCUUUCUUUCUUUUUUUUAAUACAUUUUAAUCAUUUUGGUUACAUUUGUCAUGUUGCUCGUCUCAAAUGGGCCCUAUAGGAGAGAGAAAGGAACUUGGGUUGGGCUCGGGUGCGAAAUUCGGAGGCCCCGAACGAACCCAUUAGUCCUUCAUUUAAGAGCUUGUUUGAUCACACUUUUGCGUCGGAUAAAAUACGGAAAGAAAGGUAUGCUCAAAAUAUCAAACGAACUCAUUCCAUAGUCUCAAACUUCGACACAAUCAUACACUCAAUAUAGCAUGCUCAGUAUCAUAUGGUUGUAUUAUAGAAUACAAAUAAAACAUCUUUCCAGAGGUAGAAACUACGGCUGCGAUACAAGUGAGGUAAAAGAUGCGGCAGCAAAAGUGGAAUCAUUCUAUAAACUUUCGAACAAUAGUUCAUAUCCAGAACAUGAAUGAAGAAAGCCUAGCAUUUCUAAAUAAGCAAUACACUUAGUUUUGUAGUUGACGGUAGACGAUCACCUCCGAUCGAAUGGAAGCUGCGUUCAAACUCAGCACUCCAAGUUGGUCGAGAAAGUGAGAGCAUGGCAUUCCAAGUUUCUCAGAUUGAGCUGCAUAAACAUAGAAAUGGCGAAAAAGAUAAUCACCAGCAAAUGCUGAAAAUUUUGUAAAAUAUCGAUAAAGAAUUCAAAAUGGCAGGUUCAUCAUCACCGUACCAGCAUUGUAGCGAAAUAUUGGGUUGGCUAGACCCAUCUCAAGGAUUAGAAGACCUCAGAGGAAUAGAGAUUUUAAUUAUCAGCUAUCAACCUAAAUCUCCAACUAACAAUGGAGAUGCUCGCCACAUAUAUAUAUAUAUAUAUAUAUAUAUGCAGGGGCAGUUGGCAGGUAGGGCAAUGCAUUUUGUUGAUUGUGAUUUAGACUCAUAUAACCCAGUGGCAACUCUCUAGAAAUUCAUCUAAAGACCAUUAUUAUUUGCAAAUAGAUAAAUAUUAUAAUUUCCGAGUUACAGGUCUGUCUUUAUAGGUAAUAAGUCCAAAGAAAACUGGAAAAUUAAUGUUUAACUAAUAGAUAGUGGUAGAAUGAUUAGAAAAUGCAAAUCGCACAAGACAUUGGGUUUGUAAUCAUCAUUGAUCCAAUUAUUUCACAUCCAUGCUUAGGAGGACAACAAUAUCUUGAUCUUUCAUUUCGGCUAACAAUCCUCUUAAAGCAUUACCAACCGUCGUAAGUGAUUAAGAUUGUAAUUUCACAUGCAUGCAAGGACAUACCAUUACAGCAACUCCAGUCUCGGAAAAUUUGGGAAUGCAGAUAAGCCUCACUAGUUGUUUCUCAGGUCCUGAAUAAGAUGAAAAUCAAUUAGUGGUUCAAAACAAAGAUAAGACAGAGCAUUCUGAUUUAACAGUACCUUCCAAUAAACGAGUCUCAUAUUUAUCUUGAUUGCCAACGAAAUAAACAUGAGGACAACUUUCAAGGAGGAAUGGGUCCUUAUCAGUGUACGGGUAGCAUCCUGAAAAUAUGAACAUGGAGGGUCAUGUUAUAAGUAAACACACAGAUACAAGAUAGGUUAAUUGUCAGAUAUGCAGAAUCUUGUAUGCUUUACUUUUUCAAAAUUAUAUCCUGAUAAAUGAUCUCGUUCACUUAUACCAAACUAAAUUAAUUAAGCAUAAGAAUUCCAUAUUAAGGUCAGGUUGUUACACAAACCCAUGUCAAUUUAAGGGCAGGGAAAAAUGCAAUUCAUUGCAAUCAGAAGUUAAAGACUACCAAGGGUGUUUGGAGCUGUUGGUGCAAGGUGCCUCCAUCUUAAUGUCCUCUCCAUAAACUCAAGCUUGUCUUUGGCGUCAGAGUACUUAUUGAGAUCGUCUAUGUUCUGACCAGAUGUCCCAAGAAACCUAAAUCAUGCUAGUGAUCAACUAUUAUCUCCAGAUUAUGCAUUAGCAAAUUUACAAAUUCCCAGAUGUAAUGAUGCUUACUGGACAUUAUCAAGCUCAAACUGAUGAGGAUUUGUGGAAGACACAAAAGUAUUAUAGGCGGAUGCUCCAGAGAAAAGACACCUAUGCAAUGGCUAGAUAUGAGUGGAAGACAAGUUAACAAUCGAGUCAAAUGGGCGACUUUGCGCAUACGAAAAUACUCUUCUAAAUUUAUUGCCAGAUCAAUAGAAAAACCUGCUGAGGUAAGGAGAAAUUUGCUGGAUCAUUAGAUCCGGGCAUUAUAUCCACAGGCAUAGCAGCCACCAGCUGCAUGGAGAAAUACAACAAAAUGGUGAUGUCAGAAGGAUGGUAUGAAGCAACCAAACUCCUUUCAAUGCCUUAAGGGCUUGUUUGGUUCAUCCAUUUUAGGUAUGAAAUGGGAAUCGGUUUGAUCAAAUCCGGUUAAUUUUGUUUGGUUCGCAUGAAUCGAUUUGGGAUUCCUAUUCCGGACUGGAAUGGGAAUGGCCCAUUAGCCUUCAACUUGAUUCCGGUCUUCUAGCCUGGAUUGAGAUUUCAUUCCGGAAGCCCACUAAGUUCUCGAAGCCCAUGUGACCAUCUCACCCUCCUUCUCUUCACCCCUUUCUCAUCAANAAAAAAAAAAAAAACAUAUCCUCUCUCAAAAUCCUAUUCCUAACCCACAUCAAUAAAAGUUUUUAAAAAUAAAUUUGAUAUUUUUUUUGGAAAACUUAUUAGAGAAUAGUAUUAUAUUUUUCAUAAAUUUUAAAUAAUAUAAAUUUAUAUUUGAGAGUAAAAUUAGUAUUAUAGUAUCCUAUAAUUUUUUUAAUUUAUACGAACCAAACAAUGAAACGUGAAUAACAUAUUCCAAUUCCCAAUCCACAAAUAAACCAAACGUCUUGGAGGAGUGGGCCAUUCCAAUUACCAUUCCAAUUCAUUCCCAUUCCAUUAUCCAUUCCAAUUCCACCCCUGAACCAAACAAGCCCUAAUAGAAAAGCAUUUAGCACCUGAGUUAACAUUAUGUCAAGCUCUUUGAGUGGCUCUGUUAUCUUGGAAUGAUCCUUGGGCGCUAUAUUCUGCAAUAUCAGAAUGGAUAAAGUACGUAACUGUCAAAAUAUGCUCUAAAAUAAGACACAGGAGGCCCUUUUAACUGACAAGAAAACUAACAAAAAAAUAUCAUAUCAAAAGAUAAAACUACCUGACCAUUGACAAGGCCUUGUGAAAUUUGUACAGAAUUUCCAGCAAUUAGAAGGCGAACUAUCUCGGAUGCAAUGCUUUGUUCCUUUCUCCAUUACAUGUGAACCAAAACAAUCAAUGACACACUCGAAUAAUCAAUAACUAGGAUCAUAUCAAGAGAAAAGUCACACAUUCUCAUCACCCAAGUGUCCAGUUAUAUGGUCGACAAGAAGUUGGAACUGCAGAGGGUUGAAUUCGCUACUCCCAACACUUAAUCCAGACACAAAAACCACAUAUUUGUCUUCUCCUGCAGUGUAUCAAAUUGCAGUUUCAGAACAUGAAUUUUGCUUUGAUGGAGCAAAACAUCUACUAUUGUUUCCAACAUCAAAGUUACAUGAUGUGAACCAAUUAAGGAAACAUUCAAACUUUCAGUAAGCUAAUUGAAGGUUUCCGUAGAAGACUAAAAUAAUCUAAUAUGCCAGAUGUUGUUUAAAUGUUACCCGGGCCAAUUGGUAACUCAAUUUGAGGGGGUAGACCAGCUUCCAGAACAUCUUGAACACAGAAAUCACCAUCACUUGUUUCCUUUCCAUGAAGAGCUACUACGACCCCUGAGUAAUUUUGUGCAGGUAAUAAUCAAAGGAACCAUAAUUACUGAUAAAGAACUCUACAUUGAUGAUAAGAAACUACCAUCAAUAUCAACUGUGGAAUUAAAUUUCAACAUCAAAAUUUUGAAGGUAGAUAUUUUUCAAGGUUAAACCUGUUACAAAAGCUGCAGGAGCAAGAACUGAUCCAGAAAGUUUAACUCUUCCACUCUCAUCUUCCAAAAUAAGAUGAUCAUCAUGAUGAAUGAAAUUAUGCGGCUUGGCAAGGGGAAGGGCGGAUCUCUGCACAUAAGAGUGGGCAUAAAGGAGCACAUUAUUGCAUGAGUCAUCAUGACCUUACAAGGGCGAUGUAGGAUAACAUUACCUCCUUGGAGUAUUCAUCGAGUAUAGAAGGUUUGAGUUUCAUAUGCUUGUAUAGAGUUCCGACUAAAAUGCACUCUUUUCCUUCUUCCAGCCCUAAAACCGUAUUAACUGCAAUACCAAAAAAGGUCAAAAUGUUAUUGGCACAGAGAAAAGAUUAAAGUUGUUGAAGCAACAACACUUCUGUCUUGUUUGUCACUAAAUUUGCGAACAAGUAUAGUUUUAUCUUUCUCUCCCAAGCAUUUUACAGGGUAUCAAGUUGUCGAAGUGGGACGAAUGGUAAAUAUUUGUAGAUUAGACCAGCUCAUGCAAACAUUUGAGCUACCUAAUGAUUCCAAAAUAAAUAAAAAAAAAAGUACACAAGAACUAAAAUUUAUCACGAUUCCAAAUGGCGCCAUCUCCUAUGGCAGCUUUGCCCAAUCGCGAGCUCUAUGAAUUAGGGUUUCCAUGACAAAAGAACCAAAAACAGUGUUAAAAACCAAUUUGCCCUCUACACCGAGCAUCAAAAACCCUAAUUCUAAGAAGAUCUCUACUACAGCCACAAAAUCGAAUCGGAAAACCCCUAUCCCAAUAAAACCAAACAGGGAGAAAGAUAGAGAGGGAUUGCUCUACCCGGCAUGUUCGGUUUCCAUUUGGGGACGAGGGAGCGGAGGAGGUUCCUCAUGUGGUGGAGGCGCAUGAAGUAGAUUUGGCUAUACUGUUGUCCUCGAUACCUCUCCCCAUGGAUCUCGUACCUCUCAUCCUGCGACCAAAGAGAGCAACCGAGGGGUUGGGUGAGAGCGAGCGAGCGAGCGAGCGCGCGCAAGCGAGAGAGAGAGAGGAAGAGGAGAAGGGUUUUAGGGUUUAGGGUUUAGGGUUUACGAGGCUUCGAUAGAUCGAUUGUUUCCGGUGGAAGAGCAUCGCGGCGCCGUCGCCCAUCUCCGCGUCCUCCGCCAUGGCGGGAAAGUGCGAGUGAGGAGUGAGCGGGGAAUUUUGCAAUGGGCGAGAGUUUCCCUCCGGACGUUAAUAAAUCCCUAGUCCCCCUACUUAUAAAAAGCCAAAAAAAAAAAAAAAAAUUUGAAACCUCGUUUCAUAAAAUUUUUAAAUUCCUUUUAUUCAAGUGAAAUUUAAAAUAGCAAUAACGAAAAAACAUUAUUUGUAAGCUGAAAAAAAAUGCCAUACUUUUCACAAGAGGGAUUGUUUUUCUGUACUCAACGAUAUUGCUCUUGUAAAAGCGUUCCACUUAUAUUCUACAUAUUACUAAAUUAUUUUCAAUAAUGUUUCAUUAGACGUGAUUUGUAUUAUUAAAAAUAUUUAAAAAUUAAAUUUAAUAUUUUUAUAAUAUUAUUUGAUUAGAAGUGAAAAGGUUUCAAAAUUAUCAAUUUUAAUAACUUACAUGAUGCAUUUGUGAGUUUAAUAGUAUAAGAUAAUUCAAAUUUAAUAAAUUUUUGAUAGAAUAUUUUUUUACUAUUUAGAGUGAGAACUGGAUUUUGAUAUGAAACGUAAGUUUAUUAUUAUUUUUUUAUUAAAAUUUUAUUUUUCAAUUGUUCAUUUUAUGAUUAUUUGUUUUAAAAAAUAAAUAAUGUUGAAAAAUUAGUUUGUAGAUACUUUUAAUAUUAUAUAUCAUGCUUAACAUAGUCGAUCGCUAAUUGAAAUAUUCAAUUAUCAAAGAUAAUUUGAUACUACAGAGGUUUUCGUACUACCGAAAAUACUCUAACCUAGUUCCUUAUAAAAUGUAUGUUAUUGUGUUUAGCAUAUCUAUGUGGUACUUUUAAAGUUUGCAAAUGAACAUAUUAAAAACUUCUACAUUUUUAGAACACCAAUACCAUGGUAUGCGACGGUAUCGUUGUAAAGUGACCGUGAUAUUCUCGUACUAAAACUUUAAUUUAUUAUAUUUUUAAAAUUAAACUUUACAAAUUAUUAUAAUUAAUCCACACAACUCAAUUUAGUUAAUAAAAUAUUAUAUAUUGCUAAUAUAAAAGUAAUGAGACAUUUUAAUUAUUAUCCCAAUCAAAACUCUGUUAAAUUAUUUCAACAUUAGUCACAUAUUAAUAUUUAGUCAGCUAAAUUAUGUUGUGCGACUUGAUUAUAAUAAUUUAGAAAGUUUUAAAUAUAAAUUAUAACAAAUUCAAAUUUAAGAAACAAAAUAUCGUGCCACGUAUAGUUUAAAUACCUAAAGUGUAAUUUAGCCGCCAUAACAUUGCGUCACGUAAAUCAUAAUGAUAUGAUUUUAGGGGCUGCUUGGUUUCCAAAUAAAAGGAAAAAAGUUUUCAUUGGAAUUUCAAUAAAAAUUAAUUUUUUGGAAAGUUUUUUAUGCAAAAUUGGUGAAAAAUUUCUAUUUUUUCAAAAUUUAAAGAAUAAGAACUAACUUUUAUAAAAUCUGAAAGAAAUAAUUUUCAAAAAAAAAGGCUUUUUUAAAAAACCAAACCGUUUUUCAAAUAAUAAAGAAAAUUAUUUGCUUGGAAAAUUACUUUCCCCUUUUUCUUUUUGUUUUUUUGUCAAACAAAACAUGCGGUUUGGGCCCCACGUGAAAGAAGGGAAGAUGGAUGGGAGAAAGCCCAGCAUUUCCAUGAAGCAACACGGCCCCACGAUUCUGGUUUCUACAGUCUUCCAAUUUUAGAACCCUUAGUUUGCCGACAUUUUGGAAGACAGCUGCUCAUUGACCGUCCGUCUAAUUUUCUUCCAACUUUAGAAGGCAGGCUGCUCAUUCUCUUCAUUUUACAGUGCUGAUCUGCAGUUUCGCUCUAAUCUCUCUAUCCCUAGGCUUUAGGGCGUAUUCAUUCUCAACCGUUAAUAUUGUUCAGUUCGUCAAUCUGAGAGUACCGACACGUAGCCGAGACCGAUAAAGUCAGAGAUUGAAUGCGGAGAGCGAUUAAAGACAUACAGACUGUGAUAACUACCUACGCCCUUGAGCACAGUAAGAGAUCUCGAAAUUGUCCUCUACCAAGACGAAAUCGAUAUUGGACAUACGUUGUGAUCCUUGCGAAACAAACAGACACUAAGCAGCUGCAGUUACUCGGCAUUGAUCAUAAAAAUCGUACAAAAGUGUUUCGCGAAAUUUUAUCCUCCUAGUCGAAUCAAAUCGAUCUGUUCACCAUGCUUGCGCUCAAACCAUUUGGCAAAAACAGUGAACAUGUAGUGUCUGAUUGCUUGACAUCCAUAAGAGUUCACUGGAGUGGAUCUAGUGACACAGGAUACAAAUAUAUAUUUAUAUAGUAGCAUUAUUAUUUGUACAAAUAGUAGUUUAGAUUCGUUUAAUCUAAUCAAAGUUAAUUACUAAUAAACAACAAUCAUAACUAAUUAUAAUUGAAUUUUAUAUAUCAAUAUAUUCAUCAAAUUUGAUAUAGAGUACACUUCAAUUUGCCCCCUUGAGGUUCAACGUUGUCUCGUUGUUUAAAAAAUUAUACUAAUUAAUUAUACUGUAGGUUUAGUUUAAUUUCACUGAAAAUUUCUAGUAUUAAAUAAGAUAACAGAAUAAAGCAUAUAUUUUUUUUUGCAAAUUAUAAGAUAGUAAACUGAAUAUCAUUAGGUGGUAAAAUUUUAUAUUACACCGUCCUAUGAUUUGCAGUAAAUAUUAUUUUGUCAACAUGUUUAAUGGUUAAAUCAUAUAAUAGAUUUGAAAUAAAAUUAUAGAACAAUAAUUUUUUGAAGCCAAAUUGAAUUUUAUGGUUGGAUACAUUAAUAAUUUAAUAAUUAAAAAAUAUACCUUCCUGGUGAGUCGUGAUACAUAAUACACAGUUGUUACAACAUGCUUUCAUGAUUGGACCAUUGUCUUUUUAACAGGUCAACUCUCUGAGCACAGUGUUUGUUCCCUACACACCGCAUGUGUACACAUGAUCUUACCUGUACAGCACCCAAAAUAAUAUACGCACUUUUUAAUUUCUCGUUGUCCACAAAAAAACACCAAACAACAUGUGAACCGCUGAUCCUAAUCAUAUACGCCUCAUUAAUCUAAUCCAACACCCAAAACACAUCCGAGCCGGUGAACUUUCCUACGCAGCUACGCAGAGAAAUUCCUAUGCGCGCGUGAGAAUCCACCGUCGAGUUCGGCAAGUCGUGCGGUGGAUGCGCGUCACGCAUAAUAUUUUUAUGGCGACGACGAAACAGUUGCGGUACGGCCGCGGUCAAUGCGCCCUAACGUCGCGCGCUAGUGCGCGGUCGUGAGCAGCCUGAAUUUGGCUCACGCAAAAAUGUCAAGGGACUCCGUCAACAAGAGACAAUUUUAUAAAAGGUCCUAAUUUUUUUUAAUUAUUAUUUUCAAUUACUCAAAUUUUAUGAUUUUAUUAAUUAGAUUUAAAAAAUUUAAACUAAAUUAAAGAAUGUUUCUUUUUAGCUGAUAAAGUUACAAAUAGUAAAUGGUGAAAGGGUCCAUUUUAAAAUUUUGUGUACUUGAGGGAUUUUUUAUAUAUUUUUGAGAUAACGAGGCCAUUCAACACCUUCCUUCUUUACGGGCUCCUUCCUCGUUCGUCCCCUCAUCUCCCUCUCUGAAAUUAAAAAAAAUAGUUUUUUUUUAAAAAAAAGUUAAAAGAUAAAAUAAAUGUUUGAUGAAUUAAUCGAAUUAUUAUUAUUAUAAUUAUGUUAAUAAUAAUUUUUAAUUGCACAAGGAAAUGAAAAUGGGGCCCUUCGCUUUCACCAAAAUUGAGAUGGAGAAAUCGCCAUGAAGGAUCCUCCGCCCGCCACCGCCGACCACGACGGCGCUCGCACCUCUGCGCUUUAAAUUCCCGCGCGCGCACGCCUUCGAUUCCCCCGCUCCCCUUCGAUCUCUUCUUUUCCAGUUUCGGAGGUGAUUUUGAUCUCCGGAGCGGCUUCGGUUGCUUUGGAUCGAUCGAAUUUGGGGUAUUCUCUUUUUUGCUGUGGAUUUGAGUAGAAUCUCUGUUCUCGGUGUCGGAUUUGGGACGAGGAGCUUCCGAUUUCGAAGCUGAGCUCGGUCAAAAGGGAGAAAUUUUUUUGUUUAAAAAAAAUUUGGUCCUGGGGUUUGGGUUGUCGAUUUCGUGGAGAAAAGUUGGGGAAAAAAGGGUGCUUGAUGCGAUAUUCUUGAUCGAUCACGCGUGCGUUUGAUGGGCAACACAUGCCGCGGAUCUUUCGGGAGCAAGCACCUCUACGAGCCCGCGGAUCGAUCCGACUCUAAGCGGAACCAGAACCUCCACUCCUCCGACGCGCCACCGACGAAGCCCGCCGCCGUCGCCGUCGCCGUCGCUAGCCCCAAAUCGAAGCCUCCGCAUUCGCCGACCAAGCCCGCCGUCAUGAGGCGCGCGGGGUUCGACCCGAACACCAACUACGUCCUCGGGCACAAGACCCCGAACAUCCGCGAACUCUACGAGCUCGGCCGGAAGCUAGGGCAGGGCCAGUUCGGGACGACGUACCUGUGCACGGAGAUCGCGACGGGGAACGAGUACGCGUGCAAAUCGAUCUCGAAGAGGAAGCUGAUCUCCAGAGAGGAUGUCGAGGACGUGCGGCGCGAGAUCCAGAUCAUGCACCACCUCGCCGGGCACAAGAACGUGGUCACCAUCAAGGGCGCCUACGAGGACCCGCUCUACGUGCACAUCGUGAUGGAGCUCUGCGCCGGAGGGGAGCUCUUCGACCGCAUCAUACAGAGGGGCCACUACAGCGAGCGCAAGGCCGCCGAGCUCACCAGGAUCAUCGUCGGGGUCGUCGAGGCGUGCCACUCGCUCGGCGUCAUGCAUCGCGAUCUCAAGCCGGAGAACUUCCUCCUGGUCAAUAAGGACGACGAUUUGUCCCUGAAGGCUAUUGAUUUCGGGCUCUCGGUGUUCUUCAAGCCUGGUGAGGGACAAAAAAAUUUGAUUUUUUCUUUGUUGAUUUAUUGCCGAAUUUGAUGCCGAAGGGUUUAAUUAUUUGUCUGAUGCAUUUAUAUUUUGGUCAUUCAAUACAUUGCAUUUAACUUUAACAAUGCAUACCUUUGUUAUGGAUAUGCAUGAAUCCAUGUGUCAGAUGCCAUAAUCAUUGUAUCAGAUGUACAGCUGGUUGAGUUUUGAUGUUCAAAAUUAAGGUUCCUUACCUUGAGAUCGGCAUGCUACCGGGUUAAAAACUGCUUUUUUUUUUUUUUUUUUUUUUUUUUUUUUUUUUUUUUUUUUUUUUUGUUGGAUAUGCUGUGUGAAGGGUACUGGAUAUUUAACAAUUGUUGGUGCUUUAUUUGCUUGCAUUAUUAAGAUUGCAGCUGCCAAAGCUCUUCAAUGUGCCUUGCAACUGCUAUAAAAUACAUAAUUUGUUCCAUUUGUAUCAUAAUUUAAGACUGUUGAAUACGCGUACAGUUCAUCUGGUUUUCCAAUGGCUUGUUCACUGUCACUUUUCUCGAUGGAUAACUUCUUUGCUACACAUAAUUAGGGUUGUUGCUUAAUAUGAUCUCCUGAGUAAGUAUCUUUUGGACUAUUGCUUUGCGCUUCUACUCAUUAUUGCCCGUUCUUUUCUAGCUCAUAAAUCAUUUCAUGCUCGGCACCCUUUCUUCGCACUGCAACUGACAAAAAGUAACUCUCGUAACUGUCUUUGGUUCGGAUCUUAUGCCCCUGCAGGUCAGAUUUUCACUGAUGUUGUCGGAAGCCCGUACUAUGUUGCUCCUGAGGUACUGUGCAAGCACUAUGGACCAGAAGCUGAUGUCUGGACGGCUGGUGUUAUACUUUAUAUAUUAUUGAGUGGUGUACCACCAUUUUGGGCUGGUAAGAAUUGUGUCUGCCAGUUCAGAAACUUCAUAAUCUUCAUGAAAUCAGUUGAAUGAUUUUUUGUUUCUUUCUCUUUCUCCAGAAACGCAGCAAGGAAUAUUUGAUGCGGUUCUGAAGGGGGUUAUUGAUUUUGACUCGGAACCAUGGCCUGUGAUUUCUGAUAGUGCAAAAGAUCUUAUAACAAAGAUGCUCAAUCCUCGUCCUUCAGAGCGGUUGACAGCCCAUGAAGUUCUAUGUUAGUCUUCUUCACUUCUAAGAUUAUGAAUUUGAUUGCUUUGCCGUUGUUGAUAAAUAUCCACCAAAACGACUGUUGCCUUUAAACCUAUAGAUUAGUAAGCGGAUAAAUACAUUCGCGUUGAUAAGGGUUUUUAUUUUCUUGAGAGUGAAGUAAUUAUUAUUCUCUGCACCUUUUUUGUUUCCACCACCAAAUACAAAGUAGCAUAAAAUGAUAAAACAGUAGCGUUAAAGGAUAGCACCAGGACCUUCGGUUCAUAUUCUGUAAAAGCAUAGGUGCAGCAAAUCAUAAGAAGAUUUGGCAUUGCAUUUGGUGGGAUAAUCUUGAAACUAUGCUACUCUUUUGCCCAAAUUCUCAAUUAGUUGUCAAUACCUGGUAGAAUUUGCCUAUUGCUUUUUAAUUUACUGUUUGAUUUUCUUCAUGAGUUUGAUCUGGUGGAGAUAAUGCUAUUGAGGUUUUCUGUGAUCCACUAUCUCUGCCAACAGACCAGUUCGCAUGUAGAAUAGUUAGCAUUAAUAUGUGAGUUUCAAGAUAUAUCAUUGUUUUCAUGAUAGAGUAUAAUCCUUCGAUUGUGCUCAGGUCACCCCUGGAUAUGUGAGAAUGGAGUUGCUCCUGAUCGGCCGCUGGAUCCAGCUGUCCUUUCUCGCCUCAAACAAUUUUCAGCCAUGAAUAAGUUAAAAAAAAUGGCUUUGCGAGUGAGUGCAUUUCUUGUGCUUUAGAUAUGAAAAACUGAAAAUUUGAUUUAUAAAGCAAGAUGCUUUGAUCUGUUUCAAAAUUUUACUCCUGAGAAAAAUUCUUUCGUCGUGCAUGAUCUGUACAAAAACUCAUUAAUUUUGAUAUUCUGGUCAACAAAAAGUUGACGACAGUAAUACUUUUUGGGUUCUUUCCACUCACUUGAACCCAUUUUUUGUGUAUAUUUAGGUUUAAUGCUUUGUUUAUUAAAAGUUCUAUGCCUAAAAAGGGAAUCAAGACUGCAAACAUGGGGUACAAACAGUUACUUGGUAUCAACAAAUUGCAUUACAUGAAUCUAGAAUUACGAUUCAUGCUGAUGUAGCAGUAACACUGGUUCUUUGCUCAUAUUUCUGCUUCAGCUUAGCAUAUUUAAUGAACUGCAGCCCUACAUUGUACUUUAAGUGCUUUAGUUUUUGUCAAUGUGAACACACUUUUGUGAUCAUGCUUAUAAGAGUACUUUACAUUUGCCAGGUAAUAGCUGAAAGCCUCUCAGAGGAGGAGAUUGCUGGAUUAAAAGAAAUGUUUAAGACGAUGGACACUGAUAGCAGUGGUGCUAUUACAUUUGAUGAGCUAAAAGCUGGUCUGCGAAGAUAUGGUUCUACACUGAAGGAUACGGAGAUUCGUGAUCUAAUGGAGGCUGUAAGUUUCUUUAAUAGCAGAGUUUUUUUGGUUGGCUUAAUUCAUAUGUGAUUAAACUAACAUUGUUAGCCUGUGGAUUCCCUGGUUUUGUUAAUUUUGCCAAUGUUUAUAAAGUGUGCUAGUUUUUAAAGCUUGUUUUCUAGAUCUUUGAACACUAGACCUAUCAGUUUGAUGUUAUGUACCAACUUGACUUAUUUAGAGAAUUAUUGAAAUACUUGAAUGAAAAAGUAAUCCGCCAAUUUGUGCCAUAUCAUGGACAAAAUUUGAAGCAUCAGUAUGCUUCAGAUAUAUGAUUUUCUCAUUAAUGCAUAUAGUGGAGGGUUUAGACUGUUAAAAAUUCAUCAUUUGUCCACAGUUCUGGUUUCGUCUUGGUUGUGCAUUAUAAGUGGAUUUGAGGUUUCCGGGUUAUGAGGCCAACAGGCUAUGUCAAAAAAAAAAAAAAGAAAAAAAAGAAAGAAGAAAGGAGAUAUUUUUACAUGGAUAUGAAGGAGGCAAAGCUCUAAAUCUUAAGCAUUGGUAUAAGCUGUUAAUUUAAUUCGUCCCUAAUUAAAUAGAAGUACCCAUUUAAAGAUAGGGGAUAUUGCAUAGGUAUACUUGGCACCUUAAGAAGCAUCAGGUUCUGCAUGAACUUUGAUGAUUUGUCUGAGAGUGGAUUUCUUUGAUGAUUCAUUGAUUUGUCUGAGAGUGGAUUGAGUGGCUACAAAGUAGAAAUUUAGAUACUUUGCUACCGCAGGCAUUACUUGAUAUUGAUACCUUCCCCAUUGCUUAUUAUCUGUGUGCUUUAUUGUCUUGUCCUUUAUUAAAAGAAUUCAAUUAUUUUUCUGAAAUUUGAAAAGAAUACAAACGCCUUUUUCAGUAAGAUGUAGACCUUUUCUUUCUAUGACCAGCAUCACCGAAGAUGUUUUUACAUAGAUAUUGCAAUUCUUCGCUAUUUUGAGGAGAGUCAUUCUACGUGGUUUAUCUCAUUGGUUUUUAUCAUUUUUAGGCCGACAUCGACAACAGUGGUACUAUCGAUUAUGGAGAAUUCAUUGCUGCGACUGUACAUCUUAACAAACUGGGGCGGGAAGAACAUCUGGUUGCAGCUUUUCAAUAUUUUGAUAAAGAUGGAAGUGGCUACAUAACAGUUGAUGAGCUCCAGCAAGCUUGUGUGGAGCACAACAUGACGGAUGCUUUCCUUGAAGAUAUCAUUAAAGAAGUGGAUCAGGAUAAUGUAAGUGCCCAUCCCGAUGAAGAUUCAUGCACAAUCCAGUAUCUAGUAUUAUUCAUAAAUAUCUUGCAUACUUUAGUGGUCAUAAGCUGGAAUGCAGUCAAGCACAACUGUGUGCCAUCCUAGUGAUAAAAUAAAUGACAAGAUAAAAAUAAUGGUGCUAAACCUGUUGAGUUCAUAUCUGGCAUACAAAAGAAAGUUUUGACUCGUAUAUCAUCUUUUCUUCUACUUUCUUUUAUUUCCUUCUUCUCCCACCUAUCAUUGUGAGCCACUCAUUUUGUCACUGAAAUUGAAAGCUGCUAUAUCUACUUGAGCAAGGUCUGGUCAACAAAUUUGUUCAACUAUGUAUCUUGAACUUUUUAAAACUUCCUGCAGCCAUAAUUAAAAGCCCUCUGGCAUUGCAUGGAAGAAAUAGAUCUAGAGAAGAUAUUUGAUAACUUAUUACAUCUAUGUUUCAAUUGAAAGUUACGGCCUUUCGUCACUUUGUCACAUGACAUCAUGUAAGAAGUUGGCCAUUCACAAGUCAAAAGGUCCGAUUUAUGAGAAAUCAUGGAACUACAUAGAACUUCCAGAUGUACUUUGCUUUGUUGAGUUUCUUACCUAUCAUGGUUUUGUUUUGUUUCAGGACGGUCGCAUUGACUACGGCGAGUUUGUCGCAAUGAUGCAAAAAGGCACUAUGGGGCUUGGAAGACGGACGAUGAGAAACAGCCUGAAUAUAAGCAUGAGGGAUGCAGCUGGCACUCGCUGAAUUUUUCACCGUGUACAGGUUUUGUGUUGUUUCUGCUGAUCUUUGCCUUUUCCUGUCAUCUUUUUGUAUCUUGGGUUGUGAGAUGACUGAAAGUGUAUGAGAAGUGGCACUUCCUGAUAUAUUUGGUUUAACUGUCACGGUUUAUUAUUUGAGUAAUUAUUCUCUAGUGCAGGUGUGUGGUCACUCUGGGUAGGUUUAACAUGCUGCAAGAGCCCAUAAGCCUACUCUUAAAUGUACUAUUAACUAGCAUAUAUUAAGUUAUUAGAUCUGUUCAGGGAAUUUAAAGAAAAUAUGGGUCGAGUUGAACUGCAACAACCCAUUUCAUCUGUAUCAUACCUUUUGUUUAUUCCAGUUUAAGGUCAUAGAAUCUGUUAACUGUGCAUCAGAUGAUAAAAAGGCACAGCAAAGUUGUGAGAAGUUGGCCUCUUCGUAUCAUUCUAGGGUUUAAUCGGGGUAAUGAGUCUGCUGGGCCUUUCUAUCCUUUUCCAUUUCUUUCUUUGUUUUGUUUUUCCUUUUUUGUUUUUUUUUUUUUUUUUUUUUUUUUUUGUUUUACUCAGUUGCAUUAGUCUAAGAUAAAUUUAUCUUCCUGCUUCUGAAACUUCGACUUAAAUCUAUUGAUCAUUUAUAAGUAUUGCACGUACCAAAAAAGAAUGUGCAUUAUGUAUUCUCCAGAAAUGGCAAAAUGAGGUGUUUUUUUUUCUUCCGUAUGAAUGACGCACUUGAAUUUUAACUUAAAAAUCAACUAAAAAGUUUCCCAAAAAGCAAAAAACAAAACUGAUUCUCAGAUAUCAAUAAAUUAAACGCAAUAUCAUUUUGACAAUAUAUGACUUGAAAUACAAGAUAACUAUUAUUUAUUGAGCUAGAUACAUUUGUCUAGUAACAAAUAACAUGUAACAAUUUAUAGACUUUAUAAACUCGAAAGCUAUGCAUCCUCCGCAACUGCUAUUUCAUGACCAAAUGCCAUCUCCUGCAAACAGAAGCCAAUAAAAAGAAAAAGGCAAUAUGAGGAAAAUCGCCUCCUUACCCUUGUAAAAUUUCAGAAUUUUCUAUUUACUCUUUUGUCUCAAAUAUGCUUCUACAAAGUUUAUCUUUUUUUCUUAUAUACCUGUAUUUUGCGGAUUUAUUUGAAAGAAUUUAAAUUUUUAGAAGGGAAUAUCCAAGGAUAGAUGUCGUUGAGGGGUAGAUAUGAAAGUAAUAUCCUAGGACAGACGUCGUUGAGGGGUAGAUAUGAAAGUACGUUUAUGUUGAGGGAUAUGUUUAAAUCAUCCAUUUAAACAACAAAUCUAUAGGAAUUGUACCAUGUAUUUCCAACUAUCAAUCUGUAGGUUCUAACUAAAUGAGUCAUCAGUCUAAAACUUUUUUGAUAUAAAAAGCAUCAUUUUCAAACUCCUAAUUUUUUUUUUUCAAAAAAAAUGUGGCCUAGGUAUAAAAGAGAAAGCUCUAAAAAGAAGUGUUAGUUUGAAACUCGCCUUAAGUUUUCUAUCCUUGGAGAGGAGGCAUCUCGAUGUGAUCGCUCUACCGUGAUCAAACAACCAUCCAACUUCCCCAGUUAUCUCACCAUCAUCUACUUUGAAAGAACACCAUAAUUGCUUUGGCAGUGUAACAAGGCCAAGCUGAUCUCUAACAAUCUUUCCUGGCUUACUGGGAAAGAGUUCUUGUAAUAUUUCCUGUUGAUGAAGAACAACAAAUUAGGGGGUAGAUAAUGAUAAUAAGAUAUUCCUCAAAAAGGAAAAAGAUAAUAAGACAUUAUGCUCCAUUAAAUCUAAAAUUAUGCAUGAUAAUUGAAGAUCUUGUGUUGAUAUUGUGGGGAAAUAUUAUUAAGAAAAAGGAUAGGUCUAAGCAGAAAGGCGGUAAGAAAUUUAAAAGAACAUGGAUACAACUAUGACAUGGGAGUAUCAACAAAGGAACAGUGUGUUUUGAUAAGAGACAGCAGAAAACUAUACCAAAUACAGUUGUUAACUUAAAUACUCCAUUCUGUACAUACAGUUAAAAGUGCCAUUGAAGAGCAUACUAUCUCCUUUGAGUAAAAGUACAAAUAGCAGAUAACUUCAAUACUCCCAGGGACUAAAUAACUGAUUGUUUGUGGACCCCGCAUUGACCGACAUCAAAUUGUCUGAGUUUGAUCAUCAUAUCAAUAAAUACUUCUUAAAAUCUCCUGAAAACAUGAUCCAAUGUUCGGCAUGUGCUUCAUGUGUUCAAUAUAAGCAAGGAUAUUUUCAAUGACUAGUACUUGGUACAAAUCACAUGUCAAAACUGAAGUACUUGCAGGGCUAGCUUGCCAAAGGGUCAUAUAUUGGAUAAGAUAUGAGGACACAAUGCAUCUAGCUGAGGUGGAUUCUCUCUUAUAGAUACAUCCACGAGAAGCCUCAAUCAAACAACAUAAGAAUCUGCAUCUCCUUGACCAUAUUUGUCUUUGUGAGUAUAUUCCUAAAUAUUUUCAUCAAUCCAAAAUGAAUUCCGCCUAACCCUACGUUCGGAUCUUAGUGGUCCGCAUCCUAUUCCUACCUUAUAUAAUAUUAAAGUUUAAAGCCACCUUUAACUCAGAGACACACAUUGACCUUUCAUUGACUAGAUUGCUACAAAUGGCACAAUGAAAUUUCCUAGCUAGCACCACCAAUUUAACAGCAUAAUUGAGUCAAUUGUUAUAAUCUCAGAAACAAAAACUCAGUACAUCAUGCUAUGUACAUUGGGCUGUUUAUCAUGCGGAACAAUAACAAUAAGCCAACUAAAUUAUCAACCAAAUCAAAAGAAAUAUCGAUAAUGAAUCUGUAUAUCAAACACGAAGACAAAUUAAUUGGGUCGAACAAUCUAUUAAUCAACUAGCCAAUCAUGAAGCAUAACAUACUUAAAAAACCAGAAACAACUUUAAAGCUCAAAGAACUCACCAUUUGCUCUGCUCCGAAUCUAGCAACCGAAGAAGUUAUCCCCUGCCAAACACCCACAACAUCAGACACCCUAAGUGCGCUGCUCGACGCAAAGCCUGAUUCCCUAAUUGCGCACCCUCCAAGCUGCUCCCCAUUCCGGAAGGGUCCAUACCACUGCUCCGAGAAGACCCUAAUCGCCUCCAAUCUCAUCCCCUCUUCCUCCGCCGCAGUAACCUGAAUCACUCUCACUCGCCCUUCCUUAUUCGCAGGAUCCACCAAGCAAUGCUCCACUUCCAACAGCUUCUUCCCUCCCUGACCAUCGACGGGCCAUGCGGCGACAUACGAACCGCUCGGAUCGAACCCUAAUGCGGAAACCCUACCCUCCGAGCUCCCCGCGAUCCGCUCCUCGACGCUGUGCCUCGUGGCGGCGUCGGCCUCGCAUCCGACGGUGGGGAGCAGCUUGAUGAGCUUGUAGCAAAGCACGGGAUCGCCCGAUUCGGACGCGAGGGUAGGGCACUGCGUUUGCCAAUCGAAGACCUCGACCCCCCAUUCCCGGAACGCCUCGGGGACGACGGACUCCGGGAGCUCGAUAGGGUUGCCCUCGGGGGUGAACUCGGCGCCGAAUCCGUCCCAUUCGCCGGAUACUCGCCUCGCGAACUCGCCCCAAUCUGAAUCGAUUACAGGAAACGGAUUAGGGUUAGAUGGACCGAAGCAAGAAUCUUACACCGGAAUCGAAAGGGUUCGAGGAAGGACCGAACUGGAUAGGGUUUGGGGGAAUGGUUUCGUGAUCUCCUGGAGAUCGGGAUCUGCGGAGGCUGCGGCGGCGGCGGAGAAGGAGGAGGAAGAAGCGGAUACGACGAGGCGCUUCGGAGGAGGGGAGGAUAGGAGGGGAUUCAGAGGGGAAAUGGGGGAGAGAUUAGGGUUUCUGAGGAGGUCGAGGGAGGGGAUUAGGGUUUUGUUGGGGGAGAGGAGGUUCGCGGAGAGAAGCGCCAUUUCUCUCCGCUGCACGUGCGUGGGAAGAGACGGGAGGGGAAAGGGUGGCGUUUUAACGAUCAGGAUUAGAUUAUGAUCGUGGGGUACGGCAAUAGUGGGAUCUUAAUGGGCCGUUAAGUGGGCCGUUAGAAGGUCGAAAGCCCAUUGCGUACAUAGCAACUGUUAAUGGGCGAGCAAAUUGGGCCUCCUACGAGGCCCAUUAAUUCUCUAUUGAGUAAUGCGUAUUAUUAUUAGAUAAAGAACAUAUAAUCUCUCCUUAAAUAUUUUUGUUUAAAAAAAAAAAUAAAACGCGUAAUAAGUUGAAGAACCAUAGCUACUUCAUCACCGUAAUUUGCAACAAGAGAAAACAGGAUCUGCAACCUUUUUUUUUAUUAUUAUUAAUGAGAAAAAAAGUAAGCAAGCUUCUUUUUUUGAAUGUAAAUAAAUAGACUUCUAAAUGCCCGAUCUUGUAAAAAUGACAUCUCUCAUUGUUCUUUGAAGUUUGAAAACAUCAUCUUCCCUGUGGAAAAGGGAAACAAUUUGUCACAUGAUCCCACGGGUAGAGUGAUCCCUCAGAUAUACGGCACUCUACAAAAUGCCUUCCUAAUGGUUGUACUUAGGACACGCUCAGUAAACGAAUCCCAUUCACAGCGCUUGGAAGAGAAGAGCUUCUUCAAAAGCCCAUCAUUAAUUGCUUCCCCAACUACUAUUCUCAAUUAUGAGAAUAUUUCCUACAUUAAUGCAAUAGGAACCUGUUCCCACUCCUCCCCUCGUGAGCCAUUUAUUGCACCAAAUCAUGUGGGUUCCGUCUACGACCACACCACCUCCCUGUGGACCUUUAACCGCAUCACGUCUCCCCCCCCUCCCCUUACAAAAUAUUUACCGACCAUAUGCACAAUCGUAUCUAACACAGUUAACUAAAUAUUUAAUAAUUAAUAUUCAAAAUUCUAAGUUCGAGGCCGUAGAAAGAAGUCCUUUCUCUCUCAAAAAAAUAGGGAAAAAGAACUCUAAGCCUCCGUUUGAUUUGGGGUUGAGAAAAAAGUAACUAUUACAGGGAUAGAGUUAAGUUCAGGAUUAAAGUGGGGUUAAAAUUUUUUGUGUUUGGUUGGGGGUUGGAGUUAGUCUAGAAUAAUGAAAAAUAGUGUUUGGUUGGAGUUGGUGGGAUAAGAAGAUAAUGAUUGAUAAAGAAGGAUAAUGAUUGGUUGGAGUAGGUGUGAUAAGAAAGAUAAUGGGUUAUUAUGAAUAGAAAAUAGUGUUUGGUUAGAGUUUGGUGGGAGUAGGUGGAAUUAGCUAACCCGGGAUAAUUUAUUUGAGGUGGGAUUAGCUUUGGGGUGUUUGGGGAUAAAAUGGGGGUUAAGGGGUUAUUCCACCCCUUAACCCCCAACCAAACAAGGGCUAAAAAGAUUUUAAAAAAAGAGCUCUGGAAAGCACAUCAAAAGUUAUAUACACAUUACCUACCAAUGCGUCUUACCCAACGGUCGACUUUUCAGGUGGAAUUUAGUAAGCAUGUAUCGGCUCCCACGUUGUUACCUCUUGGCGCCAAAUAAAGACUAGGAGUUAUUGCUUGAAAAGCUCCAUCACUAAAAAUUUACAGAAACAGGCUAUAUAACAUAAUACUUACGCUUCCAUUGUCUCUUCCAUUCGUUUCACCAGUCCCUUUGUUAGUAAUUAGCACCAUUUUGUACCAUAAAACCCUCCAAACCCUUUGAUUUCAUCGGGACCGUCUCACAAAAAUAUAGCUUCCGACAAUGGCCAAUCAACCAGGAAGAAGAAACUCCAGCGGCGAACUACUUGCAGAGAUCGCGAGCUUAAGUCAAACACUCAGCCGACCCCCCACCACCGGCAAUCGUCGCCGCACCGCCUCCCUCGCCCUGCCGCGCUCUGCCGCCCCGACGUUGGCCGACUUCGCCUCUGAUGGGCCGCAGAUCACCGAUGGGGCUCCUCGAACCGACCGCUGGAGCCACUCCUUCCGCUUCAUGCCCCUUUCUUCCUGGCGCUCCCGUCCGAAACCUAAAGCAGACACGGAAAGUGAGGGGACCGAUGCUGAUGAAAACCCUAAUUUCACGGCCCGGCCUCCGGAUGGGGAGAAGAAAGGUAUAUGGGGUUGGAAGCCGAUGCGAGCCCUCUCGCACAUCGGUAUGCGGCAUAUUGGGUGUUUGUUCAGAGUUGAAGUAGUCGCAAUCCGCUCCCUCCCAACUUCUAUGAACGGCCUCCGCCUCUCGGUCACGGUCCGGAAGAAGGAGAAGGCCAAGGAGGGAGCUGUGCAAACAAUGCCCUCCCGAGUGAUGCAAGGAAUUGCCGACUAUGAUGAAACCUUAUUUAUUAGGUGCAAUCUCUACUACAGCGGAGGUCGCGGCACAGGAAAGCCACUCAAGUUUGAGGGUCGCCCUUUUGUUAUCUCUGUGGUGGCUGUCGAUGCCCCUGAGCUUGGUUUCGGAAAGAGAACCAUCGACUUGAGUGCGAUGAUUCUCGAGUCAGUGGAAAAGAGUUUGGAGGGGCAGCGGCUUCGGCAGUGGGAGAGGACUUUUGAGCUCUCUGGAAAGGCAAAGGGGGCUGAAUUAGUUCUCCGGUUAGGGUUUCAGAUCAUGGAGGACGGACACCUCGGUAUCUACAAUCAGGCUUAUGUUAUAAAGUCGAAGGAUCAUGGAAGGAGCUCCUCUUUCUCCAUUGCACGGAACCAAUCAAAGUCUACUUACAGUGCUCCGAGCCCAAGUAUCACGAGAUCAGAUUCACCUAUCACUGAUCCAGAGAGAAAGUUAAAAGGAGUUGAUUACUUCAAUCACAAUGAUCGUGGAAUUUCAUCCUUGAAUCCCUGGUCAAUUCAGAAGUCAGAGCAAGAGAGAGUAGUGGAGGAUUUUGAUAUCCCAGAAUUUGAAGUCAUUGAGAAAGGAAUCGAGAUUCAAGGACAAAGCAAAGUUGAAGAGGUACAGUCGGAGUCCACGGAAGGGACCUCGGCCUCAAAUGGAAACGUUAAAGAGAUUGUUCGUGACAGUGCUCAUUUGGUUAGGCUUAAAGAGCUUGACUCGAUAGCAAAAGAAAUUGAGGCUCUUGAGUCAAUGAUCAUUGGAAAUAAUGCAGAUCCUAUUAUAUCACUACAACGAUCCCAAGAGCAGCAAUUAGAUGCUAAAGAGGAGAGAAUGACAAGGGAGUACCUCCGAAUGCUUAAGAUGCAAGAUAAUAAGCAGCUGAAACAAGAGCUUCUCUCCCCAAAAUUAGCAGGAGAUGGUGAAAAAGAUGGUGAAGUGAAGGUUCUCCUUCCGGAUUUAGGGAAGGGUCUGGGCUCCGUCAUUUGUACGCGGGAUGGAGGCUUCUUAAUUUCAACGAAUCCAUUUAAUAUAGAAGUAGCAAGGAAAGAGAGUCCAAAACUGGCUAUGCAUAUCUCGAGACCAUUCGUCUUCAAGAAUCAGAAGCUAGUAAGUGGGUUCGAAGUAUUUCAGAGAUUAGCUGCCAUGGGAUCUGAAGAGCUGAGUUCUAAAUUGCUCUCAUUGGUUGAUAUGGACGAAUUGACGGGUAAAAGUGCAGAAAAGAUAGCAUUCGAGGGCAUUGCAUCGGCCAUCAUAAGUGGGAGGAACAAGGAAGUAGGAAGCUCGAGUGCAACUAGAACAAUCCUGAUUGCUAAACAGAUGGCUGCAGCGAUGAGCGAAGGUAGAAAGCAAAGGAUUUCCACGGGAAUUUGGAGUACAAAGAAGGACCCUAUGAUGAUAGAAGAAAUCUUGGGGUUCUCUCUGCAAAAGAUGGAGGCCAUGGCAGUGGAGGCUCUGAAGAUUCAGGCUGAGAUGGCCGAAGAAGAAGCCCCAUUUGAUGUUUCUCCACUUAUCUUGAAAGAUAAUCCAAAGUGCUUCUUGGAUUCCACCAUUUCACUUGAGGAGUGGGCCAAAAACUGCAGCAAAAACAGUGCAAUUACAAUGUCAGUAGUCAUUCAACUGCGAGACCCGUUAAGGAGUUACGAAGCUGUGGGGGGUCCCAUGAUUGCUGUGGUGCAGGCAAUGAAAGCAAAUAGUGAUGAAGAAGAUGGGUUUCAGUUUAAAGUGGAGAAUCUCCAUAUUGGGGGUCUGAAGGUGAAGGAAAGAGGGAAAAGGAAUGCUUUGGAUGGGGAGAAACAGAGGCUGACUGCUAUGCAAUGGUUGGUGGCCUAUAAUUUGGCGAAAGCAAAGAAAAAUAAGUUGGCGGAGGCAAAACCAAAACAAGAUUUUGUUUGGAGCAUGUCCUCACGAAUCAUGGCAGAUAUGUGGCUCAAGCCGAUGCGAAACCCUGACGUGAAAGUUUCUAGCAAGAGUAGAUGAGAUGUUGUUUAAUAAUAUAGGUUUAGUGCUAUUGUUUAAUAGUGAAAGGACAACUUGCUUUCGUGGAUAAUGCAUGUAUCGAACAUCUUGUUUUAUGUAUAGAAAUAGUUCAUGUUAUGUAAGUCUGACUCUAUUGUUGACUGAUCAACAAAGUAGGUGAAGUGAAAAAGUUUCCUUAGAGUACAUGCCAGUACAUUUUAUGUUAUUUUCCCAUUUUUCAAUUGAUGUUCUUAAUAACAACCUACAAGCACCAAAAGGAAGAAGAUUCUUUUCAGGACAAUCAGAAGAGCUUCAUCAGCUAUCUCUAACUUUAAUUCUUCACACUUUCAAAGCUAAGAAAUGAGCAAGGAAUCAACACAUGGUAGGAUAACCUAGAAAAGCUGCGUAAUUUCUAUUAAAAGCAAUAGAUAAAGAACUCCCGCCGAGAUUCAUACCGUAAUACAGCAAUUAGAAGAAAUCAAUGAAAUUGUAAUUUAUAAAUAAAGCUUACAAAGCAGUAUGUUUACCUAUCUCAAUCUGUCAAUUGUUGCCUGCAUAGACAAGAAAGAAAAUGCUGCAACCCAAUCAAACUUAAAAGAUUCAGUGUAUCUGUAAGCAUAAUUUAUGCAAUUGUUGGGUAACAAAGAAUAAAUGAGUAAAACAUAAAAGGUGAAGGAACAACCUCCACUUCACCAGUAGUCACUGCAAGAGCAAGAUCCUUCUCUAAAAUGGUGAAAGCGAAUGCCAUCCCUAACUAUCAAUUCCCUACCAGCAAUCAAUGAUAUUAACUUGAUUACGGUGUGACAAUCACUGCAUAUCCGAAGAUUCUUCAUAAUAUGGAUGGGCAUCCAAGUAGGCAAGCUCAUUAGUCCAAAGGCCACAGCUAGUUUCUCACUAUGAUGUCUCUCUGAUCGUAAGCUCAUUGUUUUAAUGUACCCAACAGCUUCAAUCUUUUCAAUCAGUUCAUCAAGCUUUCGUUGAAUAUGAAUAAUUUGAGGGUGGCUAACAUCAUCCGCUUUAAAAACAUGAAUCAUAUUCUCAACCUCAAUCCAGCUAUGCCCAGGAUUCUUUUUAAUCCCUCUGUCUCUCAUUAGUUUUCUUACUUGUGCAGAAUCGUUUGACUUUCCAGCAUCACAAUAUAUCUUUGCCAGAAGCAUAUAGCUUCCAGAAUCUUUUGAAUCUAACUCUAAUAGAUGUUUCCCGGCAAGCUCUGCAAGUUCUGCAUUGCCAUAGUUCUUGCAAGCUGCGAGAAGAGCUCCCCAAACUUCAGCACUAGGUUGGAUUGGCAUAUUGACUAUGAAAUUUUUAGCUUCUUCCAAAAGCCCUGCUCUGCCAAGAAGAUCUGCCAUGCAAGAAAAAUGCUCUAAACCUGCGCAUAUGUUAUGAACUCUAGUCAUGGAGUCAAAAUAAAAUUUGCCUUCCUGUACAAGUCCUGAGUGACUACAACCUGCUAAAACUGCAACAUAACUUAUAUAAUCUGGCUUUAUUCCCUUAGCUAACAUACUCUCGAAAAUCUUUAUUGCUUGCUUUCCCAUGCCAUGCUGCGCAUAUCCAGUUAUCAUAGCAUUCCAAGAAACUAAAUCCUUAUUUAUAACUGAAUCGAAAACCUCUCGAGCUUCUGCUAUCUUUCCACAUUUCGAGUACAUUGUGAUAACAGCAUUAGCCACCGAGUUAUCCAAAUUAAGCCCCACUUUAAUGGUAUGGGCAAUGAUCUGAUUGCCAAGUUUAACUGCAGCUAUUUCAGCACAAGCACUAAGCAACGACACGAAUGUAACCCAAUCUGGUCUCACAUCAUUUUCUCUAAGCAUGGCGGAGUACAUUUUGAGGCCCACUUCUUCAUCCCCAUUUUGUAUGUACGUGCCCAACAUUGCAUUCCAAGUGACUAUAUUCUUAGCAGCCAUUUUGUCGAAGAAUGUGCAGGCCUUAUUUAUAUUCCCCGCCUGAGAAUAUGCAGUUAUCAUGCUAGUCCACGAUAUGACAUCUUUCUCGGCCAUUAAAUCAAAGACCAACUCAGCACUCUGAACACUACCGCCCUUUGCAUACAUUGUGAUGAGCGAAUUAGACACAGGAAUAGCUAAAUCACAGCCACUCUUCAAGGAAAGUGAAUGCAACUGACUCCCAAGGCAUACAUCCACCUUGCCACAGCAAGCACUUAUCACAGUUGCUAGCGUGAAUUCAUCAUAAGUGAGAAACUCAGCUCUCAUCUGAUUAAACAAAUCUAUAGACUCAUUGAUGUACCCAUAAGUAGCAAAUCCCCCGAUAAGAGAUGUCCAUGAUACAGUGUUGCGGUCAGUUAAGGAGUCGAAUGUUCGUUUUGCUGCCUUCAGAUCGUCACAUUUGGCAUACAAGUGGACUAGCGCACUGCCAACAAAUGCAUCUAUUCCCAGUUGGGUUCUGAUUAUAUGAGCAUGAAGAUGCUUACCCCAAUCCAAAUUAGAGACAUUAGCACAUGCACUAAGAAUGCUCGUGUAAGUCGUAGAAUUAAGUUCUAGACCAUUGUUACGCAUAUCUUUCAACAUGGAAAGGGCGUCGCUAUCUCGUCCAUGUUGUGACAAUAUUGAUAUCAUCAUAUUCCACGAGACAAUAUCUCGUUCCGGCAUCCUAUCAAACAACUCGAUGGCACGUCCUACACCGUAGAAUCUCGAAUAACCCAAAAGCAUGCUGUUCCAGAAAAAAAGGUUCGGGCUUUCCAGCUGAUCAAACAACUUGGAAGCUAAGUCCAUUGCUCCACAUUUAACAUACAUAUCAACUAGAGCUCCCUCGACCUGCGCAUCUCUUCCAAAAUCAAACUUCUCAACAAAUCCAUGCAAUUGAAGGCCCAACCCCUGACACCGAAGGGCGCCGCAAGCUUUCAUUGUGCACGUGAGCGUAAACAUAUUUGGUCCACAAUCUGCGGAGCUGUUCAUGCAAACAAAAGCCUUUACGGCGUCCGAGAACCGUCCGUUUUGGAAGUACCCCGACAUGAGCGUGUUCCAAGAGGUGGUAUCCCUCACGGGCAUUUCAUCGAACACCUUCACCGCGUCAUCCAAAUGAGCAAACUUGGAGUACCCAUUAAUCAUCAUGUUGUGGGAGAUCACAUUGGGCGCGGCGAUGCCCUCGAAGACGCGGCGCGCGUCGUCGAGGGAGCCGCAGCUGAGGUAGGUGUGGAGGAGGUUGUUCUGGAGGAAGGUGGAGGAGGCGAGGCCGAGGGAGAUGAGGCGCGCGUGGAGGCUCCGCGCGGCGGAGAUGGAGGAGGAGGAGGAGGAGGAGGAGGAGGGGGAGGUCGCGCACGCUCGCAUGGCGUCGGAGAGCUCCUGGGUGAGGGCCAUGUACGCUUGGGGAGAGGGCAUGGGGGUAGAGGAGGAAGGGGUUCGUCUUUGGUGGGAGAAGGGGAGAGGCGAAGAGAGCUUCGAACGAGGCCAUGAGAGCUUGACCAUCCAACAAUGGCGCCUCUUCUCGUGGCGGGGUGUCGCAUUCCACGCUUCGCUCUGAGAGCUCCUCGAAGUGUUUGAUCUGCGCGCGAUCCAAUUGGACUUCGCUAUUCUAUUUAUGGUUUUUUUUUUUUUUUUUUUUUUUUUUUUUUUUUUUUUGAAAAAGCUUACCUGGUACAUUGGUGAAGGGAUCGUCAAUUUACACUCCUUAUUCCAUAAUUCAUAAAAAAUCUAAAUAAUUCAUAAUAAAAAAAAUAUUAAUAUGAUAACUAAAAAAUAAUAGUCCUUGAAUGAAGAGGAUAUAAUUAGCAUUGUUUUUUUGUUUUCUAUGUUUUACGAAAUUUUGUUAAGUUGUAUCUAUACGGGGGAUAAGUAUUGCAGUAACUUCGAAUUUGUUUGGUAACACGGAGCUCCAACCCGUAGAAGACGCAGGUUUUGUCUGUAUACCAACAACUUUACGUGUGACGGACGCAAGGUUGCGAGUUCGCACUGUAUACAAACAUAUCGCUCUAUGAGAUUGUCUUACCCAUGCAAUAAGGUGUGGACAACCGAAAAAGUCGGAGAUUGAAGUUCCUCCAAACUCCGAUGAUCUCGAGUUACACGAGCUCACAAGUUUCGUGCCUGACUUCGAUCUGAACAAACACCCUAAACUCCCUCUCUCCUAGGAGGUUUGAGGCAUUUAGAAAAUAAAUUUUGAUUUGAUGGCAUAAAUGAAAUAGGCAACUCUCUCUCUCUCUCUCUCUCUCUCUCUCUCUCUCUCUCUCUUUCUCUCUCUGGUAUAGAAUAUUUUAGAGUGCUCUAAAAAUAAGUGUUCUAGAAACAAGUGUCUCUACUUGCUAAUAAAGCACUCUAGAGUGCUCUAGAAUAUUCUAGAGUGCUCAAGUUGGUAGGUUGGGAGUCUAUAAAUAGAUGAGGACUCCUAUGUGUGAUGUUGUACGAAACGUGGGUGGUGAGAUAGUGUAGAGAGUGAGAGUGUAUUGAAUAGUGAAGUUAGUGUAUCUUUUAAUCUUUUUGGUGUAUGUGAUAAAACUAUAUAUGAAAAUUAUUUUAUGUGUAAUAAAAAAAAUUUUAUUAUUAGUUUUGUACGCCAAUAUUCUAUAAUAAACCCAACUUUGAGCAAAAUUUCGACUUUUCUUAUUGAUCGAAGGCCAAAGUAACUAUACAAAUUCUCUACUACCACCCUUUUGUUGUGAUAUAAUAUAGAUUUUUUGAUGGUUGACCACUGCAAUGAGGUUUAACACCCAGUCCGAGAUCUAUGACUCAAUUUUUCUGCAACCUUUUUGCAGCUUCAACUAGCUAGCUAUUAGGAUAUUCUGCAUGCACGGAUAGCAAAAAUUUUAAAAAAUAAAGAAAAAUACGAAUUAAAUUAUAAUUUAAAUCAAAUUUUCUGGAUCAAAUAAAAAUAUCCUAAUUGUAGAUACAUCUUACAUCUCUUUUUUUUAAAUAAACUGCUUAAAAACUAGAAAAAAAAAGAUCUGGUAUAAUCUAAUUUUAUUAUUUGAAUUGUGUAAAACCUGAUCCCCGAUCUAGAGUAGUCAAAAAAAUUUAUGUUUGAACACGGAUAUUAAUCCGGAUAAAAUAAUUUGUCUUGACAUGAUUUUCGGACGAAAAUUUUCAUUCGAAUUGUCAAACAAAUGUUUGGAAUUAUUAUAUUUAUUUAAAUACAUCCAAAAAUUGAUAAAAUUAUUCAAGAAAAGAAGAACUCUUCUUCUAACUUCCAAAGAGAGGUUUAUAAAAAAAAAAAUAAAAAAAAAAGGAAAAAGAAAAAAAGCCAGCAUAUAUUGAUGGAACCUACUCGUACGUUGGUGACGUCCUCAUCUGAGUGACAAUAAUAAUAAUGAUAACAUUUCAUUUAAGUGACAUAAUUAAUAUAAUAAGAUCUUCUAGCAUUAUGCUUUGAGGGUCAUUACAUCAACUUUAGGAGCAAAAUUUUCCAGCAUGAUGUAACACAUGAAAAUAAAAAAAACAUCACAAUCAAAAUAGUUUCAAUGACUCAGCAUUCAUAUUUUUCCACCAGAUUAUUGAUUCAAUUCAACUGCUAUAUAAGAACAACCAACUCAACGCAAUCGCGACCUAACGUACCAAAAUGCAAUAAAAAAUUAAAAAUUAAAAAAAUUAAAAUAAUCUUAAUAUUUGUACUCAUAUGUAUGAUCCGUAUUAACAUGUUGCGUCUACUGACUAAAAAGACCUAUAAAGUGUUAAAUGGAAGAGAUUUAAUCCAUUAAACAAUACAUAUAAAAGAAAACAAAAUUAUAAUCUUGUGCAUGAUCCUACUUUGAAAUCAUAUUUCAAAAGAUUUUAUAAUAUUAUUAAUGUGCUAAUCAAUUUAUAUGUUAUGUUAGAAUUCAUGUACGAGCUAAUUAAAAAUUAAUGAAUUAGAAAAUACAAAUAAAUAUAUUUUAGAGGAUCAGAAAUAAAUAUAUUUUUGUUUAUAUAUACAAUAAUGCAUAUUCUGUUCGCAUGUAUGAAUAUCUGAUUUAAAAUAUUUUUUUAAUAUAUAUUAUAAUAUAUAUAUAUAUAUAUUUAUUUAUUUAUUUAAUAUGUCAGAAGCGUGACUUUUAGAUUAUUUUUUAAAAAAUUUAUUUCAACAUUGAAAUAGGAUCAUAAAAAAUAGAAAUCAAAUUUAGACUUUUGUACUUUUUUAAGUAUCAUAUGAAAUAAUUAUUGAAUGUCUAUAAAAUUAUAUUUUAAUAAAAAUAAUUAUUUAAUGUCUAUUAAAAUUAUAUUUAAUAUUUUUUUAUAUAUUCCAUGAGCCAUGUGGCAUCCAUUGAUUGGUUCGAUCAUCGGUGGGUAGGACACGUGUACGAAAAUAACAAGGUGGGGACCAGUGACGUCAACUGACGGCCUCAUCUCCUAUUGAACCUGGACACCUGUCUCCUGUGGUGUCAGGCAUAUUUCUUUUUUUAUUAUAUAAAAAAUAAAUAUUUUUAUUUUUAUUUUUUUAUUUAUUUUGUUGGGUUCCGUAGGAGUCGCUACCGCACCACGGCACCCGAGACCCGCCUCAUCUCCGGAGCACUUUUGUCGUCUUCGUCCACGUGGCCACGCCUCCUUUAAAAUGCACCGAUACAAAGCAUUUUAUAUAAUUUUAUGCGCAAAAAUUUUUAAAAAACUUUAAAAAUCCUCCUGUGAUUUCGGAGUUUUUUAUUUUGCCUCCUUAUGGUUUAAAAUAUAUCAAUUUACUUUUCUGUGAUUUCUUUUUUCUCUUUUUCUGAUCAAUUUUAUUAUUUUUUUCUUAAAUCAGUGAUAAAGUUAAAAUUAAAGAAUACUAAAAUAUAUAUUUGAUAAAUCUAGAUGGGUAUCUGAAGUUUUUUUUGUAUAUAAUUUAAUGAAAUAUUAACGAAAAAGCUACCGAAAAGAUAAAAACGAAACCACAGGAGGACAAAUUGAUAUAUUUUAAACCACAUGGGGGCAAAGUGAGAAACUACGAACCGACAGGGGGGUUUUUGAAGUUUUUCCAAAAUUUUAUAUAUACAAAAUUAUUUUAUCAUAGCAAUCUAACCGUACAGUACAACGACGAGAUCGAUUUGGACCAGUGAUAUCAAACCCAUGAACUUGCACGGUGAGAUCGAACUAGACAAAUCAAUCAAUUACUCUGGAUGGUGUAUUAAACUCAAAUAAGUGGACUUGUACCGAACUCACCGCUAUACAGUAUACACAACUUUGUCCGGAUAUAGAAGUACGUCACGUUCGCGAGUUAUAUUUGUAUUUGGUUAUGGAUAUAUAUACAAUAAUCUCUAUCAAUUUACAGUAAAUUUUUAAAAUUUUAAUUUAUGAACAUGUUGUUUUAGUCGUAUUAACAUUGUCGUGUUUGACGGACCGUCCCUAAAGCAAGUGGUAAAGGAUUUGAUGGUUGGUACCCGAGGUCUCAAGUUCGAAUCCUAAUUGAUUCACAUUUCAAGCUAAAUUUAUUUUUAAAUAAAAUAAACGAAACGACUAACGUGUUACCUACGAGAGAAAAAAAAUAAAUAUUGUUGUGUUUGCGACUUUAGCAUAUUUGUAUUAUCAUGUCGUGUCUAAAUUGAAGCGACUGGAAUCGCAUUGGAUUCUAGAUUUCAUCACACGUGGCACGCUUUUUAAAGCGCGAUGGAUUCGCGUGGAAAAAAAGUUAGAAGCUCUUCCACGCAUGAAGAGGAAUCGCACACAAUCCUUGGCAAAAUUAUUAACGUAAUUAAUAACUAAAAAAAAAGUAAUAUGAAACUAAAACGGUAUUAAUUAAAAAGAAAAAAGUGAGAAUGCUAUUUCAGAGGAACCUAGUUUAUCCCUCAGGACUUGGAUAGAUAAUGCAUCUCAAAACUUAGAAAAUAUAUAAUUUAUCUGUGAUUUUCAAAAUCGCCCUUUUUGUUUUCAAAUUUAUCUCUGAAAAUAUCAUGUUCAUUCAAAUAUGCUUCUGCGCGCCCUUGAAAAAUUAUUGAGAAACUUUGAAUUUUUACAGAAUAUCGUCGUGACGAAUAUAGGAAUAAAUUUUAAAAAAUAUAGUGUGGCAUGCUCAGUAAUGAGAUCUCGAACCAAAUUAUAUAUACAACUCACAUGCCGUAAGAGAAGCAAAAUGGGGACAACUCACUUUCUGCUUAUUUGCACUAAUAAUGCACUCAUUUGUUGUUUCUUGUACGCAAUUACUAGACAUAUAUUGACUCUAACUGUAUUGCUGUAUCAGCAUCUAAAUAUUGUAACUAAAAGAGCAAAAAGAGGUUAUGUUGAUAUAUUUAUAGAGAGAGAGUUCGUACUUUUAUCAGUGUUUUUUUUGUACUCAUAAGUUUUCGGCCGUUAAAUUUAUUCGUUAGAUCAUACUAUUCAACCAACUACCCGUUCAAUCUUAGAAGGCUGGUAUCAUUCUAACAUGAAACAGCUAUUAUCCUAACCGCACAUCCCUUCCAUCCAACGACCGAAAUUUAUGAGUAUAAAGGGUUUUAUGCUCAUAAGAGUAUAGUAGACUUGGCAUAUAUAUAUAUAUAUAUAUAUAUAUAUAUAUAUAUAUAUAUUUUCGAGAGAUAGGUAGCAAACUACCUGUUUCGUUUUUUUCUAUUUAGAAAUAAACUUAGAUAGAAUUGUGAAUCAACUAAAAUUCGAACUUGGAUACUCGGGCAUAUUGGUGCUAUUACAUUUUCGGUUCUUGGAUGAAGAGAUGCGCGGUUAGGAUGGUUGUGGUCCUCUAAGAUUUGGUGGGUGGUUGGUGAAAUAAUAUGAUAUAAUGGGUGGAAAUGGUCUUAGGAUCUAAUGGUGGAAAACUUGGUAGCACCAAGUAUUUGGUGCUUUAUAGCAUCGUAGUCGAACUAUAUAUAUAUAUAGUAGAGCUACUAUGCUAUCGGAAGCAUAGAGGAUCUGGUGCUUCCGAUUUUUUGGUCCUUAGAUCAACCCCUUUAAUCAUUUCUAAUAUUUGGAUUAAUACUAUUAUCUUGUGGGGACUACUCAACCCUAGGGGUACUACUCAACCCUGGGGGACCGCAAUCAUCCCAACAGUAUAAUUUUUGAUCUAAUGGUCAAAAAGUUGGAAGCAUGAGAUUCUCUAUACUUCCGAUAGCAUAGUAGCUCUACACACACACACACACACACACUCACACAUCUAUAUAUAUAUAUAUAUAUAGAAUUGGGCUCAUAUGCUUUUAAAAGUACCAAGUUAUUGGUGCUUAUAGAUUUGUGGCCAUUGGAUUAAGGAAUGUGCGAUUAGGAUAAUGUGCCUCCUAGGGUUGAGUGGGUGGUUGGUUGAAUAAUAUAAUCUAACGGUUAAAAAUGAUCAAAGGAGUAGAUCUAACAGUACAAAAUUUACAAACACCAAGCUACCGUUUGGUUCGGGGUUAAGAAAAAACUAGUUAUUCCAGGGAUAUGGUUAAGUUCAGGAUUAAGGUGGGGUUAGAGUAUUUUUGUGUUUGGUUGGGGGUUGGAGUUAGUCGAGGAUAGUGAAAAAUAGUGUUUGGUUAGAAUAGGUGGGAUAAGAAAGAUAGUGGGUUAUUAUGAAUAGAAAAUAAUGUUUGGUUGAGGUUUGGUGGGGUUAAGUGGGGUUAGCUAACCCGGAAUAGCCUAUUUGAGGUGGGGUUAGCUAACCUCACCCAUUUUUAGAGUGUUUGGGGAUAAUAUGGGGGUUAAGGGGUUAUUCCACCCCUAAACCCCCAACCAAACAAAGGCCAAGUGUUUGAUGCUUUUACAAGCACCAUAGCCGGACUCUCUCUCUCUCUCUCUCUCUCUCUCUCUCUCUCUCUCUCUCUCUAUAUAUAUAUAUAUAUAUAUAUAUAUAUAUGUAUAUAUAUAUNNNNNNNNNNNNNNNNNNNNCUAUAUAUAUAUAUAUAUAUAUAUAUAUAUAUAGAGAGAGAGAGAGAGAGAGAGAGAGAGAGAGAGAGAGAGAGAGAGAGAUAUAUAGAGAGAGAGAGAGAGAGAGAGAGAGUUGAGAUAGAAUACUCUGAAAAGCACAAAGAGGGUGGUGCUUUUGAGUUUUUAGCCAUUGAAUGGAGAGAUAUAAGGUUGGGAUGAUGAUGGUAGAUGGUGGUAGGUGGAAUAGUGUUUAAUCCAAGCGCUAUUAGUUAUCAAGGAGUAGAUCCAAGUGCUAGAAACCUAAAAGCACCAAGGAGUUGGUGCUUCUAAAAGUAUUCUAGCUCAAUUAUAUAUAUAUAUAAUUGAACUCUUAUGCUUUUAAAAGCACCAAAUUAUUGGUUUUUAUAGAUUUUCAGCCUUUGGAUGAAUAUUUGUAGGGUAAGAUAAUAGUGACCCCAUAGGGUUAAGUGGAUGAUUUGUGGAAUAAUAUAAUCUAAGAGAUAGAAUUGGUCAAAGAAAUAGAUUUAACAAUAAAAAAAACUUAAUAGUACCGGUGCUUUUAAAAACUCCAUAUCCAAACUCUCUCUCUCUCUCUCUCUCUCUCUCUCUCUCUCUCUCUCUCUCUCUCUCUCUCUCUCUCUCUCUCUCUCUCUCUCUCUCUCUCUCUCUCUCUCUCUCUCUCUCUCUCUCUCUCUCUCUCUCUCUCUCUCUCUCUCUCUCUCUCUCUCUCUCUCUCUCUCUCUCUCUCUCUCUCUCUCUCUCUCUCUCUCUCUCUCUCUCUCUCUCUCUCUCUCUCUCUCUCUCUCUCUCUCUCUCUCUCUCUCUCUCUAUUAUUAUUAUAUAUAUUAUGCAGUAGUAAUUAUGAUAAGCCAAUUUUUUGAAUUAAUAAAGUUCCACUUUAGGGAGGCACAAAAAGCUGAAAAAUAGGGGAAUUAAAAAAAAUUUUCCUUUUAAAAUGAAAUUUUUUUUUAAUAUUUUUGGUCCGUAUAAAACGAGGGUGGAGAAGGGAACAGCGAAACACUUUCACGUUCCCUUCACGUAUUAUCAACUCUCUUUCUCCCUCACUUGGCUUCUUUCCUCUUCCGUUCACUUUGACGGGUAGCUUGGGAGGGGAAAAAAAUGACGUUUUAUAUUAUGGGUCGCGUAGAAGAACCAAAAUUUGGGAUAUUUGGGGGGUCUCCUCGCUAUUUGGAGCAGUAAAAAUCGUGUAGAUUCCAGCGCAUUCUUAGUGGAGCAACAGUGUUAAGUCUUUUAAGUGUGGUCACAGCGGUAACAGAGCAUGAUUGGGUGUACUUGAAGAUAUUUAUUUUUUAUUUAAAAAAGCCCCCUUUGGCUCUUCUUGAUUGGAGACACCUGAAGGUUCCCGAGGAGAAGUAACAAAAAGUAAUUCCAACUCCUCAGAUGGGUAUUUGAGAAUACGAGCUCAUUCGAUCUCUGGGUGGAGAAAACCCUAGCAAGGUGAGACCUUUACGCGUAUUUUUAAGCUUUUCUGGUGCUUUUGGGUGGAGACACGGAAAUAUUUAUGAUUUAUCAAGUCGGUACUUGAGAAAACGAGCUCAUUUGAUCUCUGGGUCGAGGACACCAUAGAAAGGUGUGACCUUUACGGGGAAUGUUGGGUUUUUAUUUAUAUUUCUUUGGGGUGCUUUUGAGUGGUGAGGAUAAGCGCUUCCCAGGGAGUGAGAGAGUUUAGUGUGUCUAGUAGUGGUUGGGGAAGUGUAGGGGGAGCUUUUCGUAUUGGUUUUGCUCCAUUUUUUAAGCUUUCCCAAUUUGGGGUGGGGUUGGGUUGUUGUGCACCUUCCUCUGAGCUUUUGUCCGUACACGGAGACCCUGUAAAGGGCACACGGGGAGAGAGAGAGAGAGAGAGGAAGAGUUAGGGUUUCCACGGAGCUAGGGUUUCGGGUGAGCUUAUUGUCGCCGCACUUGUUCCUAAUUCCACCUCGCUCCUUGGGUGUGCUCAAAGUUUUAAUCUUUGUUUCCAUAUCUGCUUAUUCGUUGUUACUGAUCUUCGCUUUGUUUACAGUGAGGUAGGGAACUCUCUGUGAUUUCUCCUUUUGAUUUAAUGCCCAAAUAAGUGGUGAUUGGAUUGAGAUUCCACAAACUUUGAGUUUGGAUUGUGAUUUGUGUGCGCCAAGGUUUCUCAUUCAGGUAAUUGAUUUGUUCCUUUCCUAGAAGAGAUGGCGGGGGCUGCUCUAGUUGCCAUCGCAGCUUCGAUCGGGAACUUGUUGCAGGGAUGGGACAAUGCUACGAUUGCCGGUGAGUUUCUCGAUCGAAGUACCUGGCUUUAUUUAGGUCUUAUGUCACUUCAGAGUAAUCUUCAAUUUUUCCUGGUUGAUUGAGAAUUCUUAUGCAAUCGUUUGAGUAACUGGAGCCUGUUUUUAGGUUUUGUUAUUUUUCCUUUAACUGUUUGCCACUUAUAUAUGCCAUGGCUCCUUGGUCUUGUUUGAUUAUUGAGGCCUUGCAAUAUACUGUUCGAGUUCUUGUUCUGAAUGAGGAUUGCAUUGUUCAAAAUAAACCAAAGCUUAAUAUUUCGGCAGGAGCUGUUCUGUACAUAAAGAAAGAAUUCAAAUUGGAAAGCGAGCCGACAAUCGAGGGGCUAAUCGUGGCCAUGUCACUCAUCGGGGCCACCAUUAUAACAACGUUCUCCGGAGCAGUAUCCGACUGCGUCGGCAGGCGGCCUAUGCUAAUCGUCUCAUCCGUCCUCUACUUCGUUAGCGGCAUCGUAAUGUUAUGGUCUCCCAAUGUCUAUGUCUUGCUCUUAGCAAGGCUUAUAGAUGGCUUUGGUAUCGGUUUGGCCGUCACUCUUAUCCCUGUAUAUAUUUCGGAGACUGCCCCUGCGGAUAUAAGAGGAUUGUUGAAUACGCUGCCGCAAUUCAGUGGUUCGGGAGGGAUGUUUUUAUCUUACUGCAUGGUAUUCGGGAUGUCAUUAAUGCCUAAGCCGGAUUGGAGAAUAAUGUUGGGAGUGCUCUCAAUUCCUUCACUCUUGUACUUUGCAUUAACUGUAUUUUAUCUACCGGAAUCACCAAGGUGGCUUGUGAGCAAAGGGCGAAUGUUGGAGGCCAAACGGGUUUUACAGAGAAUACGUGGAAGGGAAGACGUCUCAGGUUUGUUGUGCCAAUGAUACAUAAUUCUCUCUGAUUAACAAUCACACCUCUAUGUGUGGAAUGGAUUAUUCUUAGCUGCUUCUUUGCUACGAUUUCUUACUGUUUGUUUUCCUUGUAAAUCAUGAAUACUUGAAAUUUUAGGUAGAGCAUAAGAGAGAAUCUUCAGCUGCUCAAUCAUCUGUACAACCACAUACUCAAUAGUGUUGGUUCGUUUUCAAACUGUUCAUAGUUUAUCAUUGUAUUCGAUAUUAUGAAGAUGCUUGUGGACCACAGGAAUUUUCAACUUUACUAAUUAUUCUCAUAUUGAUGGAUUUUCAACUUUACUAAUUACUCCCAUAUUGAUGGAGAUACUUACAGGCCAAUUGCUUCUCAGCAUCAUAUUCUUUCAACUGUAUGAAUCUAUUUUAAGGUUAAGCGAAUUGAUUCAUAGCAUGAUGUAUGACAUGAUAGAUAUAUUUGAACCUCGUCCCAAGUUAAUAUUACUGAAGGAACAGAGUUAAAGUCAAUUUUUACUAUUCUGCUAAUAUUCUGUAUACUUAGCAUUUUCUCUGCCAUUAUAAAUUAUUUCCUACUUGUAUAUCUUAAGAUGUGUAUAAAGCAUGUAUGUAAUGCUAAGAUAUUGGAGUGUCUCCUUGAACUCAGAAAAAAGGCCUCUUUUCUGACCAUACUCAGCAAAAUAGUUCAUUCAACUGAUUGUUUCAUAUAAAAAUUGUGCGAGGAUAAGCUUACUCGUCUAUUCAUUAUUUUUCCAUAACAACCGAUACUUGUUUUUUUUUUUUUUUUUUUUCUCACCUCAAAGUUAGUGUGAUUAAUAAUAUGAGCGAGCUUAGCAACAACACAACGGUACAUUUGAGCCACUAAAUGGAAAUUUUUUGUUCAAUUUCAUAGGAGAAAUGGCCCUACUUGUUGAAGGCUUGGGAGUCGGGGGAGACACGUCCAUCGAAGAGUACAUCAUCGGGCCGGCCAAUGAGCUCAUCGAUGACCAAGGUGAGACCGUCGAUAAGGAUCAAGUCACAUUGUACGGCCCCGAAGAAGGUCUAUCGUGGGUUGCCCGACCCACUAAGGGACAGAGCGCCCUGGGAAGUGCCCUGACCAUCGUCUCUCGCCAUGGUAGCGUGCAGAACCAAAAUAUACCUCUAAUGGAUCCUCUAGUCACUCUUUUCGGCAGUGUCCAUGAAAAACUUCCCGAAAUGGGAAGCAUGCGGAGCACACUAUUUCCCAAUUUUGGGAGCAUGUUCAGCGUAGCAGAACAACAACCCAAAACUGAGCAGUGGGAUGAGGAGAGUCUUCACAGAGAGGGUGAAGACUACGCAUCUGAGGAUGCAGGAGGCGACUCUGAUGAUAAUAAUCUUCAAAGCCCAUUGCUUUCUAGGCAAACAACGAGCCUGGAGGGAAAAGAGAUAACCCAAGCACAAACCGGUCAUGAUAGCAUAUUGAGCAUGGGAAGAAAUAGCAGUCUCAUGCGGAGAAGUACUACUGGUGAGGCAGUGAGUAGUAUGGGAAUUGGCGGGGGUUGGCAACUAGCAUGGAAAUGGUCGGAAAAAGAAGGGGUGGAUGGAAAGGAAGGUGGGUUUAGGAGAAUCUAUUUGCACCAAGAGGGUGGGGCCGGUUCACGGAGGGGUUCGCUUCUUUCGAUUCCAGGUGGUGAAACCCCCGAAGAGAGUGAGUUUGUUCAGGCUGCUGCAUUGGUGAGCCAGCCCGCUCUUUUCUCUAAGGAGCUCAUGGACCAGCACCCAGUGGGGCCCGCAAUGCUCCACCCGUCGGAGACGGCUGUUAAGGGUCCGAGGUGGCACGAUCUCUUCGAACCUGGAGUGAGGCAUGCGUUGAUUGUUGGAGUCGGGAUUCAGAUACUUCAGCAGGUAACGAUGGUUUUAAUUUUGGGGGAAACAGAUGGUGAUUACUUUGUGUUUGGUUUUGUCAUUCUGUCCGCAUGUUUUUUCGCACUGGAUGUGAUUGUUUAUCCUGAUGAAGGUAGCUAUAGAUGUAAUUACUCUUUAAAUGUGCUUUCUCAUGAGAACCAGCUUAAUUUGCUCUAAAAGAAUGACUCUACGCUCGUUCUAUUUGGCUUUGCUUAUCGUCACGGAAUAACCAACACAUGUUAAUUAGUAUACUUCUACAUAUGGCUGUUAAAUAGCUUUACAUUGUUAUUACUUUCCAAUCCUUUCUGGCUAUAAUAUUAUCUUGGGUUUCUCACGUCCUCUUAUCCGCUGGAAAAUAGCAAUGCAUGCAACCCGCAAAACAUCAAGCAGUUUGCACCUCGCAAUUGCCGUAUUUUAUACUCUUUCAUCGAACUAAUAUGCCUAUUGUCGACCCCCUCGCCUUUAUAUAUCAUUAUCUUCUGUAUUACUUUUGUCUGUUAGUAACUAUCCCUUACUUUCGUUACCUCCGCAGUUUGCUGGCAUAAAUGGGGUCCUCUACUACACUCCUCAGAUACUCAAGCAAGCCGGCGUCGAAGUUCUUCUUGCAAACAUUGGUAUCAGCUCUGAUUCGGCAUCUAUUCUUAUCAGUGCCAUCACAACCCUCUUGAUGCUUCCUAGCAUCGGCAUUGCCAUGAGACUAAUGGAUAUUUGUGGGAGAAGGUUCUCUCUCUUUCCCCUCUAACGCUUCUCUCGCUUCCACAUAUUUGUAUCGUUGUGGUGCAACCAUUGCACUAGUAUACAUAGCAAAAAGGUACAAUAAUUGUGCCCCUUUAUGCAGGUUCCUACUUUUGGCGACAAUUCCGAUCUUGAUAGCUUCUUUAUUUGUCUUGGUUGUGGCUAACGUGGCCCAGCUGAGCACGGUCCUCCACGCGGUGCUCUCCACCAUUAGCGUCAUCAUUUACUUCUGCUGCUUCGUGAUGGGGUUCGGCCCGAUCCCGAACAUCCUCUGUGCGGAGAUAUUCCCUACUUCGGUCCGCGGCGUGUGCAUCGCGAUCUGCGCCCUCACCUUCUGGGCCGGGGACAUCAUCGUAACCUAUACCCUCCCCGUCAUGUUGACCGCAAUCGGGCUCGCUGGUGUGUUCGGAAUCUAUGCCGUCGUCUGCGUGUUCGCUUUUAUAUUUGUUUUCUUGAAGGUUCCGGAAACGAAGGGAAUGCCUCUCGAGGUCAUUACCGAGUUCUUCGCAGUCGGGGCGAAGAGGGCGCAGGCUGCUAAAAGCUCAUCAGCUGUUCUCGGCUAACUGUACUAUUAGUUGCACCCUGAUCGCUUAUCCCUGGAAGCGACAUAGUCAAUGCGAGAGAGAAAGAGGAGCAAAUAAGGAUAAGCUAGGGCUUCAGCUAGGGUGAUGAUGGAUGACUUGGUUACUCUAUUUGGCUAUGAGGAAUUUUAAGUAGAAAAUCUAAAUAAUUGCUUCUUUUUUUUUUUUUUGGUUCUUUGUUCUAUUUUGGUUUCAAUGUUUCUUGUCGCAUUGUAUUUUGUUUACACUGGGAUAUUUGUUUUGUAACUAUCAUUGUGUUGUUGUACGAGGUGGGCGCAUCUUAGUUCCAGUUUCUUAGUCUGAGAAAUCAUACUAUGCUGAAACAAAAUGCUCUGAGAGCCUACUAUUUAACACUCAACUGUGCAGUAUACAACCGAUCGUCACUAGAGCAAGUGACAAAAGGUUUGGUGAUUGGUACCUAAUAUUCAAGUUCGAAUCUUAGUUGAUUUACAUUUCUUACUAAGUUUAUUUCUAAAUGAAAUAAACGAAGCGGAUAGCGUGCUACCUAUUUCUUAAAAAAAAAAAAAAAAACUGUGCAGUAUAC
rnacentral:lncRNA from 1 species